rnacentral:lncRNA from 1 species
GGAUUUCACUCUCAUCUAUGUCAAAUAUUAGUUGUGCUGAUUCGCAUUUCUCCACAUUCAAUUCUUCUAAGUUCUUCAAGUAAGGUAGUACAUGAGAGGGAAUCAAAGUAUCUCUUUUACAUCCUUCAUCAAAUUCCAAUUUCUUCAAACAACCAAAGAAAUUUUCCGGAAAAGCAAAUUUACCACGUCGAACUUUCCUCUCGGGAUAAUCAACAAGUUUUAUAUCCUUUGAAUAUUCAAAAGAAACCUUAGAAAGAGAAGAAACUAAAUGUCAGAUGCACAUGACAAUCAAUGGUUCAAAUAUUAUAUAAAAAGUCUUUAUACUAAUUCUUAUGAAACAAAUUUGCAAAAAUGAAAAAAGUGGAAAUUGUUUCAAAUAAUUCAAAGAUGAUGAUAAAGGUCAUCGUUUGCCUUAAUUUGAUUGUGAAAUUGUGCUAAACAUUUGGAUAUCAAAUCCAACUUGAUAAUACAAUCCAUAAUGUCCAUGCUUCAUAUUAUUCUUUUUUGCAAAAUAAUUGAAUUAUUAGUUAUGAACAUUUUCCAAGAAAUUAACAUUAAAUUAUCUUUGGAGAUAUGAUGCAAUGAAAAUUUGUGAUGAUGAACAUACUUUAAUGCAUACCUGGUUUGUGAAAUGUGUUUGUAGAGUGCCAUUCAAAUCACCUUCCCAAUACCAUUUGUCUUUUUCUCCUGCUUCAACAUGUACUUUUUGUAGGUUUGGAGCACUUUGGACUUCAGAUAAUUUUGUCAUUUUAGGGCAUUCACUCACUACUAAUUUUUCUAGUAGUGGGAAUUUUAGGUCACACUUUUCAACACUAGAGAAACUUGUGAGAUUUUGUAGAGACACCAAUUCUAAUGAUUUUAAUUGUUUAAACUCAACCUCUUGUAUAUUUUCCUCUUCAUUUUCUGCAACAAUUUCCAGAAUUAAUGGACAUGAACUUACUUUCAUCGUUGUGAGUUGAUUUAAGGUUUUAGCAGUUGAGAGUGUCAUUAAAUUCCUCAUCAUACAGUUCACCACUUCUAAGGAUGUUAAGCAACUAAAAGAUACUAACGAUGAUGCUAGAUUUCUCAAUUUUUUGCAUCCACGGAUGAUUAAGCGUUCUACCCUUUGAAGAAGCACAUCAUGCUCAAAACCAAUCUCCUCUAGAGACCACAUGCUACGUAAUUCUAACUCUUUAAGUUGCAUAACACCACCUAUUUUUUCACAUGAACUAAGACUUUUAGGAGUCCAAAUUCUUUUCAUGUGACAAUGUCCCAAUGUUAAACUUUUCAAAUUGGGAAUUCUAUGAAGAAACCAAAAGAAAAUUUUAUUAUUGUUCAACCCAUACAAAGUAAGUUCUUCUAGUUUGUGCAUUCUGUGAACAUUAACAAUGUAUUUUUGCAACCACUUUGCUUCCUUCAAGCUCACCGACAUGUAUUCCAAGUUAUAUAUUGCCUAAAUAAAUAAAUAAAUAAAAAGACUUAUUGUUAGUAUUAGAGCAUACUAGUUGAAUCAUAAUGUAUUAUUUUGAUUUAAGAAAUAAAAGACGUAAUCUCACAUCCUUGUUAAAGGUUGCUAAUUCACGCUUUUCAAUAAAAAACAGGACAUUCUAUAUCUGAAGGAACUUUAUGUACCUUUUUUGUAGCUAAAACAAUUGGUUGCUCUGAUGAAUUUGUGAUUUCUGAAGUCAAUCCUUGGAGCAUGCUACAAUCGACUAUUUCCAAUUUCUUUAAUGGUGGCCACUCUAAAGUAUGAAUUCCUGAGUAGAAACUCCUCAAGUCAUGCAAGUCAAUUAAUGAUAGAGUGUUUAAAUGAGGAAAUUUAAAGGUGAUAGCACUUUCACUUGAAUGUUUGUCCAAACCAAUAAUCUCUGUCAUUGCCCAACAAUUUCGUACCUCAAGGACUUCUAGUUUUUGUAGGUCAUUGGCAAUAGAAACUGGAAAUAGAUAUUUCAAUUUUGGACUCUCAUCAACUUUUAUGCUUUGCAAAUUAUUACAUUUGAGUAUUUCACCAGUAUCACCCUUCCAUACGUUCACCAAAUUUGGCAGGUCUUCUAGAAUUAUAUUACCCAAAUUUGCUUCAACAAUAUCAAAAGUGUGCAGAAUAUGUGUAAAAUCAAAUAUGUUUUCAACCAAUUCGCAAUCUUUAAUUGCGAAGCUUUGAAGGCUUUGCAAUCUUUGCCCCAUAAAAUUAGGAAAAAUUGUAACAAGUUUAUGGCACUCUCUUAUGAUCAAAGAGUUCAAAUUGCUAAAGGAAUGUAAACCAAUAUCAGAUUUCCAAAUGGUAGAGAGUUUCUCCAUGCAGAUAAUCUCCAUUUUCUUCAACUUAGGGAACACAUCAAUAUACUGUUACAAUAAAAAUACUUUACAGGUGAGCAAUUAAAAGACCUAAUUAUUUAAUAUAUCAGAGAACAAAGGAUAUCAUUAAUCAAACACAAUAUUAAAUGAAUCCACACACCUCUGCAUCUUCUGGACGAAAUAUAUCCUCCAUCAUUUCACAUUCACUUACUAAAAUGCUUUGAAGAUUCACCAAACUUCUAGCCAUGGAGAACGACAAUAAAUACUUUAAAUUACCACAAUCUGUCACAUUCAAUGUAAGCAAAUUUUGAAAGCAAUGGUUAUAUUGGUCACUCCAUAUCUUACAGAUGUUGAUGGAGGAUAACUCCAACCAUUCUAAUUUGGGAGUUGAGACCUGUAAGAACACAUAAAAUGUCACGACAAUAAGACUUCAUUUCAAAAGACUUUUUCCCCAAGAGAAAUGACAAAACUUAAGCAAGUAUAUUUUCUAUAUUUCUAUUAAGGGAAGAAAAACAUAGAAAUUAAACAUUACACAUAUAAUUAUGAUAAGGUUCUCACAUACCUUUUCAUUGAAGAGUGGAAGACAAGAAUUGGUGACCCUGUGCUCAACAUCAACAACAAUAUCUUGGUUCCUUUGUUGGAAUACUUGGUCUUGCAAUGAGUGUGCACUACCAGGAAUCUUAUCAGCAUUAUAUAAAUAAAUAAAUGUUGGUAGAUACUUCAAUGUUAAAAUUCGUAAUUGGGGAAACUCAAUCUUAUCAUUGCUGAUAGUAUGAGUUUGGCUUUCUUUUGAAACUAUCUCCUUCAAAGAAUCACAGUCACACACUUCAAUUGUUUCAAGCUUAGUGAGGAGUCUAACUAUGCAAAAUGGGAAAAGGUUUAUCAAUUUAAUGCAUGUUUGAAUCUUGAUGACCUUUAAAUUGCGGAAAGAGGUCUCUACAAGCUGAUUGUCACAUAUUAUUUCCAAAUUAUCCAAUUUGUAAAGCCAUAUGGACUCUAAUUUGGGAAAAGCGACUAAAGAGUGAAACCGCUCCCUUGGAUUGAUAAUAUACUUAAUGCCAAAAUUGCUUACAAUGGAUAAAUGUUUCAAAUUUGGAAAUCCUUCAACAUUUAAUUCGUAGAAAAUAUCUUCAACAUCAUUGAGGUCUCCCAACAACAAACAUUCGACACUUUUGAACAACAUUUUAAUCCAUUUUUCAGAAUGAAUAUCAAUACCUUCUUUUAGGUUUAAUGCCAAAAAUUUCACCUCCUCAUACUUGUCAGGGACUUUGAAUUCUCCCACUUUAAUCAAGUUAAACAAGUUGAAUUCACCAAUGACAAUCUUGUAACUAUUCAACCUGUCAAAAAACAAAUUCUGCGGAAAAUGGGAAGAACUAUGGAUGCGUAUGUCUAGAUUUUGUAACUGAUUCAAGUGCCUCAACUCAGAGAGACUGGCAUUUUCACUUUUCAUAUUCUCUUCAGCCUCCCAUAUAAUCAAGUUGUCUCUGAUAUAAAACUCUUCUAAAAUGCCCAUCCUCGGUAUGAUAUUGGAAGUUAUAUGUAGUUUUAAGCAAUUGCUUAUGUCAAGAAAUUGAAGCUUAUCCAAUUGCCCAAAUUCAGGAGGCAAAUUUUGAAUAUUAGAUCCUGAAAGACUAAGAAUUCGUAAGUUAUUUAACUCACCAAUGAUGGAUAAGUUCUUUCCUAGAGUGCAUCUCUCCAAACAAAGCAUUCUUAGUUUUUUUAGGCAUUUAAUUGAGGAAGGUAAGCGAGAUAGAUUAACACCGGUCAAUACCAACACUUUGAGACGAAUCAUAAAUUUAAAAAAGUAAUCUGGUAUUUUGAAAGAUUCAGUGUCAUUCUCAAUAUGUAAGACUUCAAUUCGAGGACAAUGUAAUCUCUUAGGAAGCUCAUCUUUGAUGUCACAAGAGUGUAGAAAAAUGGCAGUGUACCUUUCAAAGUCAUUUUCGUGAGGCCACUCAUCAAGUAUUUCAUUUUUCAUAUACAACACAUCUUUUUCUUUGGAUAAUAUUGAAAGAGCAACAUCUCGCACAAUGUCAUGCAUGUUGAAGCGGUCAAUAGAAUAACUUUUCACCAACAAACUUGAUUCUUCUAGCUCUUGUAUCAUCUCCUUUACUCUUUUCCUCGCAUCUGUAAGUGUGUGAACUCUUGGAAGCAAAUUCAAACCAACACAAAAUUUCACCAAGUCCAUAAUCAAAGCAUCAUUUCCCAUUCUUGCACAGUGUAAGAAAAUACACUUAAGCUCCUCAUUUUUUAGAUGAUCAUAGCUCAACUUUAUUGAGAAGUCAGUAAAUCCCCAUUCUGAUGUAAAAUUUUGUCUUUUAAUUUGUUGACAGACAUCUUCCCAUGUGGAUAAGCUUUUAUUCUUUAGUGUCCUUCCUAUGGAAAUUAAGGCUAUUGGAAACCCAGCACUCCAUUUGGCAAUUUCAGUAGCAUUCCUAUCAAACUCAGAAUUUUUCACACCCGCAACUUUCUUAAGCAAAGUCUCUGAUUCCUUUUCGUCAAGGACUCCUACGGAAAAAAUUGAGCUUUCUUGCACAUCCAUUUCAUUACAUAAUACUUGUUUAUACCUAGAUGUUAGAAGAAUUUUGCCUCCUCUAUAAUCGUUAGACAAUUUUUCCUUUUUCAUCUUAGUCAAAUCAACUUUUGACAACUCUUUCAUUUCUUUCUUAUUAUAACCAAAAUCAGAUAUGUCGUUGUUGGAACCAAAAUCAGACAUGUCAUUGACUUCUUGUUGGCUUGCAUCAUCAUUGCAUGGAAUCCCAAGUUUAUUAAAGUCUAAUCUACCCCAAAGAUCAUCAAGGAUAAUAAGGGUGUUCUCCUUUUCAUUCUUUAACCUCUUUCGAAUGCGAUCUACUCUUGCAAUCUCACUUUCCUCUUCCAAUUGCAUUCCUAGCAUGCCAGCAAUUUGCUCUUGAAUUUUUUUGAAGUCAGGAUUUCCUGUAAUAUUUGCUAUGAUGACUAUCUCGAACAAAUUCUUUUCUCUAACUUUGUUAGCAAUUUCUUUGACUAAAGUCGUCUUACCCACACCACCAGGCCCAUAAACUCCAAUCAAACCAACUGUAGAGUCUUGCAGUGCUUUCAUGAUCAUCUCCAUAGUUUGAGUUCUUGAUGCAAAGCUUUCAUAACCAUUGUUUGAAAAAGUUGCAUCAACGGAUGGAAAUUCUUGGUACGAAACAUUGUCGAAAGAAGUUUUCCAAAGCUCACCUCCUGUUAUUUCUUCAACCAUCUUUGUAGCUUUUCUACCCAAUUGAUAUCUCAGUCGGAAAUUAUUUGGAAAGAAACCAAUUGAGCAAAUUGUCUUUGCAUGACAAUCAUCAUUAAUAUAACUUUUAUAUUCUUUUAUCUUCUCAUCCAUGAGCUUUAAGCAAUGUUGAACAUCAUUUUCAAUUUCUUCUCCACUCCUUAGUGCACUAUCAACUUGAUGUUGUAGUCUCACUUUAUUAUGUUCCAACUUCUCAAUGUAAGAUUCCAACUUUUUAAAUUUUUCUUUGUAAUUAAAAAAGUAACCGACUUGUCGUUUGACCACAUUUGCUGUAAUAAUAAGUGCACUUUCAGUAGCUGUAGAGACAACUGGAUCCAUGGUCCCUAGUUAAUGGACGCUUUCGUCUUAACUGUUUGCUUCUUACUACUAUUAGUCCUUCUUUUUCCUAAAUAAUGCAAAAUUUCGGAUUUUAUUGAGAAAUGGAAAUAUAUAAAGAACAGAGAUGUUUAUAAAUAUUAGAAUAAUUUAUAAAUAAACCUAACAUUAAAAGGGCAUCAUAAGGUUGUUAAUGAAAAAAUGAAUGAAGUUACAGAAAAGUCACACUGAAUAGUUGAUACUCACCAAUGCACGAUAACAAAUAUUUUGAUACUUGUUUAUAAACGGGUGAAGGUAUCAUACUACAUGGAGUCGUGGAUAUCCACUAGUAAAAAUUUACAAUUAAAAUUUAAAUUAUAUUAUAUUUAGUUAAAUUUAAUCAAAAUUAAAAUUUAAUUUUAUAUUUUAUUACAUUAAAUUUGAUUAAAAUUAAAAUUUAACUUAAUUUAUAUUAUAUUUUAUAAUUUUCUUUUGCAAUUUUAUUUAGAUUUUAUUUUAAAAACUUAUAAAAUAUCUUUUUUUAAAUAUCCACGGUUAUCUACAAAUACCCAUGAGUUUUUAAAAUCAAAAGAGUAUCCAAUUGGUAAUGAAACAUGGAACGAGUUGAAUUUUUUGUUGCUAGAAUAAUAGAUAAACACUAUAUAUAUUUGUUCCAACUGGUUGUGAUCUCUAAUAGUGCUUAUUAUUGUCAAAUAAGAUUUUUUUAGCAGCAUUUUGAUUUUUCUUUUACUUAUUUUUAUUUUAAAAAAAUAGUUGUAAGAAUGGGUUCUUGACUUCAACUUAUAGCCUUCACAUAAUUUAGUUUAUUGUACUUAAUAGGGGUUUUAUAAUCUUUAUAUUUAUAUUUUUGUUAUAAAAUUACAAAGUAAGGAAAAUUUAAGUGUAAAUAUUAGUACAUUAUGAGAUAAAUUUUAAACUCUUAUUCUAUUUCUAUAUUGUGGUCCAUUUUUAACUUAGUUAAUCAGGUUUCUUUAAUAAGUGAUCUAAUUAAGUAAUAAAACUUUUAACACAAUAUUUUUAAUUAAAUAAAUAUAAAUAAUACAAGAUUAAAUACAAAUUGAUGUAAAACUAAAUAAUUUUUAUUUUAAUUUGAAAACACGGGUUGUUAAUUAUCAUCUGUUUAUCUAUACAUUCAUUGCUUUCAAAUUUGGUGAUAAGAUAUUUUAAGUUUUAAUUUGAAAACACGGGUUGUUAAGUACACUUUAUUUAAAUUCGUUUUCUCUCACUCAAGAUACUAGGAGAGAGGUCUUUAGCUCAAGAGAGUGUAAAAAAGUAUUAAUCUUUGGAAAAAAGAAAGAGAAAAAUAAUUGACAAAUUCACUUAGUCCCCUCCGUAAAAUUCUGAUUCUUGUUUCAUUCACUGUUAGAUCGAACUCAAAUAGUUGCAGCAUGUUCAUAACACACAGUUCAUUAAUUUUUGAUCGUUGAGAUCGUUAAUUAGAAGUUUGUGGUUAGAGAAACUAGUCUCUCACGGUUGCUCCCUUUUAGGUUUUUCUUUCUUUGUUAUUCAUAUUUUGAGAGCAUUAUUUUUUUGAAGUUUUUGGUCGAUUGUUGAGAUUUGUUUGUGUUUUUAAAUCUAUUAUACCCAUAUUUAAUCUUAGUUAUAUCGUACGUUCAUAUGGUCGAGCUCCACCGGUCGAGCUCCUACACUGACCUAUAGUGGGCCGAGCUCCACAAGCUCAACUCCCAGGCUGACCUCUAGUAAGCUGAGCUCACAGGUCAAUUUCCCAAGUUGAUCUCUAGUAGGCUGAGCUCCACAUCAGUCUGAGCUCCACAAGUCGACCUCGUAGGUCAACCACCAGUAGGUUGACCUCCACAUGUUGAGUUCCCAAGUUAACCUAUAACGCGCCAAGCUCCACAGGUCGAGUUCCCAAGCCGACCUCUUCUAGGCCAACCUCCAUCAUCCUGAGCUCCCUUAGCCAACCUCUUUCAGGCCAACCUCCAUCAUACUAAGCUCUUCAAGCCACUCUUCUCAAGUUGAGCUCCUUCAAGGCUAAGCUCCUUUAGCCAAUCACUCUAAACCAACCAACUACAACACGACCGACAUGUAACAACAUAGAUCGACCGAUUACAAUAUGGUUGAUCGAUCACAACCUGGUCAAAUUAUCAGUAAUGAUAAAUUAACCUCUUAAUGCAACUUAAGGUAUGAUUGGGCCCUCAUUAGGCCGAUAAAAAGUUAAAGUCUCAUCACAGCUAUUAUAAAUAAAGGUUUAUGAUGACUUUCACAACAUGCAUAUAACAUGCAUCACUUGUUAACCGACGAUCAUCUACUAACUUUUGCAUCGGAAUACCUUCUGCAUGUACCAUCCGAGCUGACCUUGGAUGAGGCAAGAAAGAUACUAGAACCCCUUCCUCCGACAUUGGAAACGAAGCAGUUGAAAACCCGCAAACCGUCCGAUUUAGGCCAAUCACCAACCUGACCAUGGAUUACCCAAAACAUUUUUGUGUCCACUGUGGGGCUGAGCGAGCAUCCCCUUGUAGCCAUAAGGAACCGAACAUGUAUUAUAAUGGAAGAUGUCAAUCGCCCAGUCAUUCGACCCCAACAUUUUCAUUGUACUCAGUUAUAGCUUGUUGUUGGUCUCAUUCAACCUCAAUAAGAUGGCUUGCUUCAAGAUCGAGCAUCACUACCUCAACAUCGUAGUUUUAGCCAAGCCCUAUCCUUUUAUCCUUAAUCAAUGUCAACCGAACGACCUACUAUAUCACCAGGCCAAACGAUCGACUUCGUCACCAGUAUCAACCUAGUUCAGCACCUACAUGCAGUUAGCUUUAGUUCAAGUAUCAAUUGAAUGGCCAUCUCUGGCCUUGCUCAUCUUUGGUCAAGUGUGGACAACAUGGGCAUUGCUGGUCUUAAGCUCGUGGUUGUUGUUUAGUCCUCACUGAGCAAUCGUUUAGCCACAUGUGGCCUCAAAGUCUCUACUUUGUUAAACCCGAACAACAUGGUCUCGUGGUUGUUUCCAAUUUCAUUCUUAUAGAUUGUGGUCUCCAAGAGAUGUUCCUUAUUUUAAGAAGGUGAGUCAAAAAUUUUGCAUCAACUGUGGAUCAAGCUAAUGGGGACAAAGUGUCAUGGAAAUCAUAGUAGUAUAUCAAAGGCUAGUAAAAAAUAGAUGCACGGGAUUGUGGAAGAGUUUUAUACAUGUUCUAAAGUAGGUACUAGAAUUACCACCUAAGAACAGUGGGGUUCACUAUUGCAUUAGUGCAUGAAGCAGAACCAAUGUCAAUAGUUCUUAAUUGGAUAGUUUAUGUUGGGAGUGUGAAGUAAAAUGGAGGGGUUGUUAAAGAGAUAAUGUUUUGGACUGAGUGUAAUCACUGGAAUAACUAUAAGUUUAGUGGAUCUUGAAAAAGAAGAAAAUGGUAUGUUGAACCGUUCUAGUGUAAGUCUUGGCUAAGGAAGGAGUGUCUAUUAGUAGAUAUGUUUCUAAGGAGUGGAGACAAUGUUGAGGAAAAGGAAUGCUACUAGUAUCAUUGAAAAGGGAAGUUUUGAGGGUUUUACAAGUUUAUAGUAGUUUUGAAGGAGGUUUCUUAAGGGUGGUCACUUCUUGUCACAUUUGACACGAAAGGAUCAUCCUUUUCAAUAAACAAAAGAGUAUGAAAGUAUGAGGAUCAGAGUAGUGUAGUAGAAUGGUGAUAAGUUAUGUUUCUCAUCAUUGAAAGGAACAUAAGAAGAACUAUCUUACUCAUGACUUGGUAGUUAAUGCGUUAGGGAGUUCUUUAAAGCAGUAGAUAUGUCAUCUUUAUAAGGUUAGAUAAAGGUGUUUAAUGAUCAUCAAGAGCUAAAAGUGUGGAGUUGCAAAGAGGAAGUUGGAGAGGAGACGAAUGACAUGAACUAAGCUAUGGUUUCAUGUUGUGUGGUGGCAACUCUAAAGUGAGAAAGUGUUAAUAGAUGCUUUAAACGGAAAGAAGAUUCAAGUUGUUGGUUUGAUAAUGAUAGAGUAAGAGUUGGUGCAAAAGUAUAAGGAUUGGACCCUAAAGUGCAGUUGUGAGGAGAUUUCAUUAGUACAAUUGAUAUAACUGGUGAGUUUCUCAAAAUGAUUAGGGAAAAGGCAGAUCAGACAAUCAUAGUUUGAGAUGUAUCAUAAAAUUGUUACAUACUGAUCAAGCUUAUGAUUUCAAGUUGAGAAUGAUGCAUUUUUAAAGAUGGUUACAGGCUAGUGGGUUAAGAAGUGUAGAUGGAGUACUAGAUUUAGUUUUGUCAUUGCAACAGUUGCGAGGUCUACUUUGGAAAUGGGACAACAUUGUUAUGGACUUUGCUACCCUCUGGCCAAUGUCAGUAAAGCAAUCAUGAUGUUAUAAAGGUGGUUGUGGAUAAGAUCAAGAUUGUUAAUGUUUAACAGUAGAUCAGAAGUUGUGCAUGAUCAAGUCAAUUAAGUAGGAGCUUCAAAGAAGGAAUAAAAUGAUAUGAAGUGAUAACUAGCAUAUAUCAAAUCGAAACCUAAGGGUACCUUUAGAUAUUGGUGAUACCUAUAAGAGGUAAUGGAAGACAUAUGGAAAGUGAAUUCAACAUAUGGGAUAGAUAUUGGUUGGCCAGGCGUAAAGGAUCAUUCAAACUUUGGGUUUGAGGUUGAGUAUUACGUUUGGAAAAUUAUGGCUUGACCAAUCUACAUUGUAGAACAUUGUAUCAUUUGGCACAUGGGGAAAGGUUUUCGGUUAGUUAAAGUGUUGGCGACUGUAAUUCGAUCAAGUUUUAGGUGAUUGUUAUAAGAGAAAAUGAGAAGAGCAUACUUUUCUAUCUACCUUAUGAGUGCAUUUUCGAGAUCAAAAAUUUUUCUAGUUGGGAAUAAUGUAAAGCUCUAGAAAAUGACAUUUUAGAAGUGCUAGUGGUUUUGAAACAAUGAGACUAGAUUAUUUUAAUGUUAAAAGAUUUUAAUAUAAAUAAUUUUUUUAUGAACGAAUUUCAUUAUUUUAAAACACAUUAUCUCUCUAGAAACCACUUUCUAGAGUUCUCUGACUUCUUCCUAAGAGUGCUUUCUUUCCGCUUGUCUAAUCGAAGAACCCAGACCGUAGGAUUAAUCCUUGUGGUGAGCUCUUCAAUUUAGACUCAUAAGUUUCUUAGUUCGUGUAAGUCGAGUUUUAACUCUUUUUCUUAGUCUUUUCCGUUAUUAGUUGCAUGUGAGCCUUAUUUCACUUACAUGCAUCUUUUUAGCCAUUUAUAUAAGUCUCUACUUAUCAGUGUAUCUAAUUGUGUACCCUAAUCGUGCUAGUGUUAUUCCUAAGUAUAUAUAGGACAUCAUGUGAGCUUGAAGGGUUUUGGGGUUCCUUAGAACAAGUUCAUUUUCUUUUAGGUAAGGGAAACUAAUUGCAUUUGUUUUUCCGUUAUAAAUAUCUUGAAAUGUUGUUUUACAUGAUUGAGUAGUAUGAUGAUGUUUGAUUUGGUGAAUUUGAUUGUGUUGGAUGUUUUGUUAUGUUGAAUUGUCUUGGUGAGUUUUUUGUUGAUUGGAGAAUUUAGGAUCUUAUCAAUUGAGUCAAUUGGUAUGUGUCCUAACAUUAAAAGUUGUUAUUAACCACAAUAAGAAGGAAAUACCAGUUUGACCAUUUGAAAAGGUUCCAUUUUUUCUAAAUCAUAGAAUUUUGUCCUUUUUUUUUUCUAAUACAAUGUUGAGCCGUGGUAGAUCGGCAUUAGGUGUUAGCUCAUUUGGGAUUUCUGAGAGUAUUUUAGGAUCAGACCACUGAUUGCCACUUUUGAACAACUAAGUGUCGUAUAUUAUGAAUGGUAUAGCAUUGGUCAAAGUAAGGGUGUCGUAGAGUGCCCAUUUUUGCGAAUGGUGUAGCGUUAAACAGCAUCAGGGUGUCGUUGAGUAUAAUCCUUACAUUACAAGUCUGCAUCAUUUGCACUGUAGGGUGCUAGGUGCUAGAAAGUGUUGUCAAGUACAACUUGUUACAAGAAGAAUGGUGAUGCAUGCCACCUUUCAUGAAAAGAUUGACCUGGGGCGCUACCUCUAAGCACUAAUGUAUAUGUAUGAAUUAUCAUUUAAAAUAAUAAAAGCAUUAUUAUUAUUAUUAUUAAAAUAAUUAUUAUUUUUUAUUUUAUUACAAAUGAAUGUCCUGCACCUCGCACAACUGUAAAAUGUAAAAAUCUGUUAAAAUAAAUGGAAGAAUCACUCUCGUUGAAGCAACUAGGCUUAAAGAUUGUGUUGCACUGAUGUGAUCUAAGAAAAUUAGUUUUUCAAGAUGGAAAAAGUUCUUUUAACAACACUUUUUUAACAACUUUUUGACAAUGCAUACGUGGCAGCUUGUGAUUGGUCCGUUUUAAACAUUUUUUAAAACAUAAAUUCAAAUAGACCAAUAAAGUGAUGACACGUGUAUCGUUGUCAAAAAAGUUGUCAAAAUAUCAUGAUCCUUUGAAGAAUAGGUUCCUUUGUAACACAGAGUUGAAGAUGUGAACAGAUUUUAACAGAAGAAAAUAUAAUUUAAAAAAAAUUAAAAAUAUUUUAGAGGGUUCUUUUGAGAAAGAAGAUGAUGUGAAGUUUGGUGAAAUAAUUGUGAAAGCCUUGUAAUUAAGAAAAGUUGAAGAAGUUAAAUAAUGAAAAAGGAAGGAAGAGAGAUGUGCGAACUCAAAAUAAUGUGAAUAAAAGAAGACUUACAGAUUGUGUUGCACUGAGCUUAUCUAAGAAAAUCAGUUUCUGCAGAGAGGAUGAGAGUUGGUAGUUUGAAGAGUAAUGUUCUUUCUAACACACAGAGUUGAAGAUGUGAAUCAGAUUUUAACAGAAGAAAGACGGUGUUGGUAGUUGGAGCUGAUGUUCUAAGAAAAUGAGGUUUUGAAGAGGAUGAGACUGAAAUAGGAUUGGUAGCUUCUUUCUAACUCUCACACAUUCAACAAUGUGAACCAGUAUGAGUGAGUGUUGUUACUUUAAGGAAUAAAGAAAUGAAGAUGAAUUUAGGGCUAGCUGUACAUGUGAGUCCCACUGAUUUAUGGUGAUAUAAAAAAUGAACACAGAUACAGAGAGAAGAAGGAACAAUGGAAAAGAGUGCUGUGAUCUAAGAAAAUCAGUUUUUGAAGAGUAUGGUUCUUUCUAACAUACACAAUUGAAGAUGUCAAUCAGAUUUUAGAAGAAGAAAGAGCGUUAGUGUCCUUCUACAAGGAGUAAAUAAAGAUGAAUAUAUGAUUGUUGCGGCUCUUCUGAUUUAUUGUUGUUCUCAUUUAAAAAAGUCCUGUUGUCACACUCGGUAAAUUGUGGAUAUUUAUCAAAUUUUGUAUUUUUUAUUUUAAAUAAAAGUAUUUCUACAUUAUUUUUAAAAUAUAAUCUGAAAUAAAAAAAAUUUUAUCUUAAAAAUAUAAUCUAAAUAAAUAAUGUAAUAAAAUAUUAAUAUAGGUAAAAUUAAUUUGAAAAAAAUAAACUUAAAUUAGUUGCACUAUAAAAAUAUAAAUAUAAAUAAAAUUAUUUUUUUUCAAAAAUAAUUUAAUUAGUAAAAAUAAAAGAAUAUAAAUUUAUAACAUGUUCAACUCUGAAUAAUUCUUAUAUUAUAAAUUUUUUUAAACAAAUUUAUUUUAAUCAAUUAAUUUUAAGAGACGGGUGGUUUAUAUUUACAUGUAUCUACAAGUAAAUAAAUUUGUAUUUUUCCUUUAUGAAACGGAUAAUUAAAACACAAUAUAUAAUAUGUAUCUAAUAGUAAUAAUUGCUUUAUGUAUAUGUUAUAGAUUUAAAAUGAAAAAUUUAGAAACAUUAUAAGUGUGCAAUGUUUUGAAUCAGUAUUUUUUAAAUAUUUAUACUGUAUUAUAAGUUAGUAAAAUUAAUAUAUAAGAGACUAAUAAUAAGAAUAUUAAAAAGUAAUUUAAUGUUAGUAGUAAAAAUCACAAAUAUAAUAUAAUAUAGAAAUAAAAAAUAUUGUGAUAUUUUUAUACAAAAUAUUUCAAAAUAAAAAUUAUUACGAAAGAAUUACUUAAAAUUAUAUUUUAAAAAUAAUAAAUUAAUAAAUAUAUUAUAAAAAAAUAAAAUAGGAAAAAAAUUGUAUAUAGAUAUCUAAAAUAAAAAAAAAUAUUACAAUAAUCUAAAAAUAAUUCAAAUAAUUUUUAAGUUUCUUUCAAAUUUAAUUAAUUUUUAAUUAAACUUCUUUUAAAAAAUUUUUUUAUUAAAUGUUCAAAAAUUUACCUGUUUAAUUUUGUUCUUUAUUAAGAAUAAGUUAUUAUUGUUUUACAUAGUCAUUAUUAAUGUAUAUUUAUGUAAAACUAAAAAAUAAUAAUAUAAUCAAACUUUUAAAUGUUUCAUGAAUUUAUAUAUUUUUAAGCAAAAUCGUAAUUAUAUUUGCUGUUUUGUUUAAUAUUUAAAAAUCUUUAUAAUUUUUAAUUGAACUCCUAUCAUUAUAACAAUUUGAUUUUGCAAUAUCAAACAUAACCACAAACUUAAAAGAUAUAAAAAAUGUUUGGUUAUGCUUUUAAGCUUUCAAUAAAUUUGACUUUAAGUCAUUAGUUUUUUUUUUUUUAAUUGAACGCUUAAAAUUUUUAUAUUUUUUAGUUAUUUCUCUUACAUUUGAUUUUAGUUGAAACUAAUUUGACGUGAUCUUGUAUCAUUAUUAUUUAAAUCUUUCUAUGUAAAAAAUGACAUAACUAAGUUUUAAAUUCUUAAUGAAUUUGAGUAUUUUCAAUGGAUUUCCUACACUAAAAUUUUUUAUUCUAUAUCCACAAUCUUUAUAUUCUUCAAUCCAAUUCUUACCCCAAUUAUAGGAUCAUCAUUAGUGAAGAAAAAAGAUAAUGUUUUCUAUGAUUGGUACCGAUUUUACAACUCAAAUAUAUUAAGAUGAAAUAUAAAAUAAAGGAUUUUUUUUUUGUCUAUGAACUAAAACAAAAAUAGUCUACGUUUUGUUUUAGUUAUAAAAAAUAAAAAUAAAUUAAAUUUUUAAAUAAUAGAAAAAUAAAAAUAAAAGAAAAAUUAAAUUUUUAACCACUAUUCCACAAACAACCAAGACAAGAUUUUAUUUAAUUUAAUAUAAUCAUUUAAUUUUAAGGGUAUAUAGCAAUGAUUGUGACAAGAAUCACUUUAUAGACCCUUUUAUGCUUCCAUUAUAAAAAUAACUAAGACCCAUAUUUAGCUUUGAUUACAGCAUGAAUUGAAAUUGAAUUUGGUUUUGCCUAUAAAUGAAGCCUAACAUUGGCGGUUUUUUUUUUAAUUAUUUUUCUUGUUUUUAUUUAAUCUUAUAUAUAUAUAAAAUUCAACAUAGAAACUGAAUAUGAUUUUCAAACAGCAAUAAUGAUUAAUUUUCUUAAACUAUCCUGAUAAUUCGAUAUUCAAUACUUAUAAAUUAUUAUUAUUGUUUUUUCUUAUAUUAAUUUUUUUUAAAAAUACAUUAUUCUAAAAGCUUGGAGACCUUGUAUUGAAUUUUAAACAAAAAAUAUUAAGGUUGACUCAGUACAAUAUAUUUAAGCAUAUAAUUAAUCAUAUAUCUAACAUAUAAAAAAUAAAUAACAUACUAGAAAAUUAUAGGUUCAUAUUAAAAAUAAAUUUUCAAGAUAAUAAUAGGAACCUGGAAGUGUGAAAGUCGAACAAUAAUGAAGAAGGAUGGAUACCACGUUUUGGAGAAAUAUUAAUAAUCUCACUAUAAUGCUACAAUACCAAGACACAAAUAUUAACAACAUAUUAAUUUGAGAAACUAACGCAAACACAAAAUCCCAAAAACAAAAUGACAACAAUCGUGCUUACCACAACAAUGAAGAGGAAUGAAGAGCGACGACGACAUUGAGCAACGAAAGUAAUGCGAUGGCAACAACGAGGUGCGGAGCAAUGAUAGCGGCUAACAGUGGCCUUCGAAUUCAGAGGUGCAAGGAGUCAAGCAGUGGACGAUGACACUAAAGGAAGGAAGAAAAAAACUAUGAAAUGAUAACCUGUGUUUCUUUUGCAAAUUUAACCCUAGACAGAGACAUAUAGCCGCGGUUAUUUAUAAAACCAAUGCCUAAAAACUUUUAAUAAAAUUAAAAGUUAUAAAUUUCAGUGUCAAUUUUGAAUUUUGAUCAACCAUUUGCUCUGUUUUAAAAAGUAGAUAUGAUAUUAAUUGUUCAAAUAAUUGACACCAUAUGUCCUUCUCAAAAUAAAAAAACAAAAAAAAAAAGUGACAAUUUUGAAAUAUUGAUCAACUUAUUGGCUUCGCUUGUCCAAGGAAUCGUUGCAGUAUGUAAAUAUAACAUCGGUUAUUCAAAUAACAAAUGUCACGCGUCCUUCUCAAAAAAGAAAAAUGACAAUUUUGAAUUUUUCAUCAACCGGUCUUAGUUGUCCAGAAAACUCUAGAAGAAAGUGGAUAAGACUGCGGUUGUUCAAAUAACUGAAGUCACAUAAGUCCUGCUAAAAAAUAAAUAAAAAAAUAGUAAAAGUUUUGAAAAUUUUGAUUCAUUUUUUGGCUUCAGGUGUUUCUCUGAAAAUAUAUAAAUAAGAAAGAUGAUUUUUGAAAUUUUUUGACACCUUUAGUCUUCAGUUAACUGAUGCUAAAAAUGGUAUAUGCUUUCAUUAUUUUGUAACCAAAAUUUAUAAAUUUGCAAAAUUUUAAAAGACGACACGGUAUUGUGAUAUAUUUCGGUUUCUUCAAGAUCAAGACAUAUUACUCGAGUUAAUAUGUGAAAUUUUCACUAGUGGAUGAAUGGUACUUGAUUUUAUAAAUUUCAAACACAAUUAAAAAAAAUUGGAUAGAAAACAAAACUCUAUAACCUUAUCUAUUUUUACUAAAUAUUCUUUAGUGUCUCCAAGUGGUUAGUUUAAUUUUUCAUUCAAUCUUCAAUUUUAAAAAAAAUAAAGUGAUUAAAUUUAUAAUAAUUAAGUUCUAUUUUAUUGUUCGAGUUGGUGUUGCAGUUGAGAGUGCAUAAUCAAACAAUACAUAUCUUCACUUGAUAAUAAAAUCAGAUGACAAAAAAUAAAUAAUAAAAAUUUAAUCGAUAUAUAUAAAAGUUUUGGAUGUUAACAGAGAUUUAGUUAAAAUACAUAAUUCUGAAUUUAGAUUUAAUAUUAUUUUUUACUUUUCAGAAGAUAAGUAAUGAUACGAGACAACAACUAUUACUUGGUUUACACCAAAACAAAGAAUAAAAAAAACCUCAAUUCAAAAAUAUAAAUAUAAAUAUAUUAUGUAGAUAAAUACGAGGAAUAGAAAACUAUGAUAAAGCCAAUAUAUAUAUAUAUAUAUAUAAGAAAAACAAUAAAAGAGUAAGAUAUUUUACCUCACUGGUUCCACUGCUGAACGUGGUUUGCAGCGCAGUUGGUUCAUUCAGCCAUGGAGGUCCAUCGCAUCUUUAGGUCUCAUGUCAGCUACGAAAUUAACAAAACUGUAACAGUAGCCUGCAAAUUUGUAUAUAGAAGUGUGAAGGGAGAUUUUCUUUUUUCCUUUUGUUUUUUCAACAAACUAAAGUGAUUAAGUAAGAGAACGUAGGAUAUAGGGAUUGGUUAUGUAGGGUUUCAUGAAGGUGGCUGUUUGAAGCAUGAUAGGCAAAAUGGUGACUGAGUGUGUGAAGCAAAGAUGAGAAUGCAGAAAGGGUAUGAGGAGUUAACAUUGAGGUUCAAUCUGAGAGGAAAAAUGAGGAUUGGUUAGUGUUUUGAUGAAUCUGAUGCAAAAGGAAAUAACGUGUAGUCGCAUGUGUUUGUGUUCUGAAAUUCAAAAGAGAGAGAAGAAAGAAUCCAUAAACAAAUCUCUCUACACGUCUAUCUCUGUUUUCAUUAAGAGGCUGUCUUGUUUGAUCCAAAGAAAACAUAAAAAAAUCUUUUGAGAAAGAGAAAAUGGUUCCAAACGUGGUGGCAACACCUGAAUUAUUUAUUUCUGUUACCUUUUUUUAUGUAUUAUUUUAUUUUUCAUGUGUUUUUGUCUUUAUUAUAAUAUCCAUUGUUCUGAUUGCAAAUCUAUAAUUUUGUCUUCAUUGACUUUUCCAUACUUCUUAAUUCUCUUUUUAUCGAUUUAACUAUAGAUUUUCGAAUAAUUACACAAAUGAUCAUACAAACUUAUAAAAUUUAACUUUUCAUAAUCUAAAAAAAAUUAAAAAAAUAACAAGUUGUAUUUGAAACUUCAAAUUUAAUUAAAGUUAAAAUUAAAAGAAAACUUGUAGACAAUAAAUAAGUUAUGGACAACAUCAACUUGAUUUUAGCUCUAAUUAUAAUAAAUAAAAACCCGAGAAAGGAAUAGAACUUUAAAAAAUGAAGAAAUUAAAAUCAUGGUAAUUAUAACCCACUCUACAACAUUUCCGUUGACGUUAAAAAAACUCGAGUGUUAUAACCAAAAGUAUUAGGCUGGCAGCAGUUGUCACACCCAAUUAUUGUUCUUUUUUAUAUAAUUUUUAAUUUCUAUACAUCAUGGUUCAGCAUUGUCUAUCUCUGUAUUUAUUGUCACCAUAACUAAACCUAGGUCAGAUUCAGGCGCGUUUAGACUAAAAAAACAUAAUCUUUUUAGGUCAUAUCUAACAGUUUAGAUUUCAAUUCAUGGCGAUUUCGAGUUGAGUUAGAUGUGAGUUAGCUGACGCCAUUAUUAGAUAUAAGUUGAGGACAAAUCUAAAACUUCCUUACACGCAUGCAUCACGUCUUUAAAUUGGUUUUAAGGAUCUAAAAAUUUGGUUUAAUAAACUUUCUUUAAAUAUACUACCAUUUGAAGCAUAAUCGAUCGGAAUAACUUUUAGCAGCACCAUGAACAUUAUUCUUUAAUCAGCUAACAUUAGGCUUAAAGCAAUAUCCUCAUUUAACUCUAGUACUUUUAAAAUUUUUGGUUUCAAAAUUGAAAAACUUUAAAAAGCAAAAGUCAAUACCAUUAUAAAUAUUCUUUUAUUUUGUCAUAUGAAUAUUUCAUUAAACAAAAUGAAACACCAACUGAAAGAGGUUAGAAAUUUUAAUCUCAUGGUUUUUAACUUUUCAAAUGAUUCUAUUAGCAUAAGUGAUACAAGCCUAAUGUUACAAAUCAUAGGUGUACUAUAUGAAAUAUACCGAUCGAAAUUAAUGGUCAUUUAUGGAUAAUUAUCAUAUAUUAAUGGGUCAGAUUGUCUUAAACUUUACAAAUAUAUGUAUUAAUAAUUAGUUAUUGAGUUUGAUUGCCUAAAAAUAUACUAUAGGUUAAUCAAUGGACUUGGUUGCCACAAGUCCUAUAAAUAUACAAUUAAUGUUGAGGUACAAUCAUUUUUUUAUGUAAUAAAAUAGUGACUUCUUUAUGAAACAUAUCUUACUUGAACGUCAGAGUGUCUUCUGCAGGUCAACAACCUAUCGGAAUAGAUUGAGUUCUCGGAGAGGAUUGAAGAUCAAAAGAUCGGAGUAGAUUGAGUUCAUAGAGAGGAUUGAAGAUUAAAAGAGAGCAUAGCAAGGAAGGACAACCGACCCUCGGACAAAUGCAACCGAAACAUUUUGACUCCCACCGUGGGGCCGAUCGACAUCCCCAUGAAGCCACGAAGAACCAGACGCACGCUCAGUCUCGACAUUGCUACUUCGGAUCAACACCAGAUUUUGCAACAAGAGUGAAAAGUUCAGUAAUAAUUUCUAAAGGCAUGUUUUUUGUUUUGAGAACUUUUAGGAAGGUCCAAACCUACGUUCAACCUUGACAGGUUCCACAUUUCAUUAUAAUUUAUAAACUAUAAUAUAUUUGUUUAACUCAUUUUUGUGUGUAAAAAUGUACUGCACAGAAAGGUUCAGUCAUACGUUCAACCUUGGCAGGUUCAACUUUUAAUUAUAAUAUAUUUGUUCAACUCAUAUUUUUGUGAGUAAAAAUAUUUUGUACAAGAAGGUUCAGUCCUACGGUCAACCUUGGCAGGUUCAACUUUUCCUUAUAAUUUAUAAUUUAUAAUAUAUUUGUUUAACUCAUAUUUUUGUGAGUAAAAAUAUCCUGCACAAGAAGAUUCAGUCCUACCUUCAACCUUGGCAGGUUCCACUUUUCAUUAUAUUUUAUAAAUUAUAAUAUAUUUGUUUAACUCAUAUUUUUUGAGUAAAAAUAUCCAGGAAUGUUCAAUCAUACAUUCAAUAUUGGCAGGUUCAACUUUUCAAAAUAAUUUAUAAAUUAUAAUAUAUUAUUGUGAGAAAAUAUUCUGCACAGGAAGAUUCAGUCCUACGUUCAAUCUUGGUAGGUUCCACUUUUCAUUGUAAUUUAUAAAUUAUAAUAUAUUUAUUCAACUCAUAUUUUUUAGAGUAAAAAUAUUCUACACAGGAAGGUUCAGUUCUACAUUUAACCUUGAUAGGUUCAACUUUUCGUUAUAAUUUAUAAAUUAUAAUAUAUUUUUUUAACUCAUAUUUUUGUGAGUAAAAAUAUCCUGUAAAGGAAGGUUCAAUCCAACGUUCAACCUUGGCAGGUUCCAACUUUCAUUAUAACUUAUAAAUUAUAAUAUAUUUGUUUAACUCAUAUUUUUUGUGAGUAAAAAUAUUCUGCACAAGAAGGUUCAGUCCUAUGCUCAAUCUUGGCAGGUUCCACUUUUCAUUAUAAUUUAUAAAUUAUAAUAUAUUUGUUUAACUCGUAUUAUUGUGAGAAAAAAAUAUUCUGCACAGGAAGGUUUAGUCGUACGUUCAAUCUUGGCAGGUUCCACUUUUCAUUGUAAUUUAUAAAUUAUAAUAUAUUUAUUCAACUCAUAUUUUUGUGAGUAAACCUAUUCUCCACAGGAAGGUUCAAUCCUAGGUUUAACCUCGUUUAACCUUGACGGGUUCAACUUUUCAUUACAAUUUAUAAAUUAUAAUAUAUUUGUUUAAAUCGCAUUUUUGUGAGUAAAAAUAUAUUGCACAGAAAGAUUUAGUCAUACGUUCAACCUUGACAUGUUCCACUUUUCAUUAUAAUUUAUAAUAUAUUUGUUUAAUUCAUUAUUUUGUGAGUAAAAGUAUUAUUUAUAGCGAGGUUCAGUCCUACGUUCAACCUUGACAACUUCCACUUUUCAUUAUACUUUGUAAAUUAUAAUAUAUUUGUUCAACUCAUAUUUAUGUGAGUAAAAAUGUCUCACACAGGAAGGUUCGCACCUACGUUCAACCUUAUCAUGUUCUAAUGUUAUCUCAUUAUAAAAUAAAAUGUUGAAUAUUUUAUUUAAGACUUAUUUUCUGAGUAAAAAUAUCUCGCACAGGAAGGUUCACACCUACGUUUAACCUUAUCAUCAUCUAAUGUUAUCUCAUUAUAAAAAUAAAAUGUUAAAUAUUUUAUUGAACGCAUAUUUUUGUGAGUAAACAUAUCUUGUAAGGAAGAUUCAAUCCCCUAAAACUUGUUGUUCAACAUAGGAAGUUAGAAAAAUAACUCCUGCCUUCAGCCACUCGAGGGAUGUCCGAAAAAGGGCUUCAGAAAUCCCUGCUCAACGCAAGAAGUUAGAAAAAUAACUCCUACCUUCAACCGCUCGGGGGGAAGUCCGAAAAAUGCUUCAGAAAUCCUCGCUCAACGUAAGAAGUUAGAAAAAUAAUUAUGCCUUCAGCCGCUCGGGGGAUGUCCAAAAAAGGGCUUUAGAAAUCCUCGCUCAACGUAGGAAGUUAGAAAAAUAACUCUUGCCUUCAGCCUAGAGUUGUCAAAACGGGUAACCUGACCUGACUUCGCCCGACCCACCACGGGUUGGUCACUUAGUGAGCCAACCCAACCUGACUCGUUUAUUAGCGAGCUAGAAAAGUUCGAACCCGCCUCGACUCACCACAGAUUGGUGGGUAAACGGGUUGGCUCGCUGGCUCACUUAAUUACAAUUGCUUUUAAAUAAAAAAAUUACAAACUUUCUAUAAUUCAAAUCUUAACAAAUUUCACUCCCAACAUGUUUGUUUAAUUAAUUUUGAAAAUAGGAAACUUAAAUAACUUUUUUCAAGCAAAAAAAAAUAAUAAAUAUCUUUUUUGUAAAAUUAAAAUUAAAUUUUAAUAAAAUAAAAUUAGGUAGGUGGGUUGGUGUGCCAACCCGGCCCACCAUGGGUUCAACUCGCAUGCACCGGGUUUAAAUGAGUCGGGUUAAAUCUGACCCGCAUAAAAAAAAUACAAGUUUUUCAAACCCAACUCGACCGGAACCCGUGGUGGGCCGGGUUGGCCCGCGGGUUGUGACCCAUUUUGACAACUCUACUUCAGGCGCUCGGAGGGAAGUCUGAAAAAGGGCUUCAGAAAUCCCCGCUCAACGUAGGAAGUUAGAAAAAUAACUCCUGCCUUUAGCCGCUUGGGGGAAGACCGAAAAAAGGGCUUCAAAAAUCCCCGCUUAACGCAGGAAGAUAGAAAAAUAACUCCUGCCUUAAGCCGCUCGGAGGGAAGUUCGAAAAAGGGUUUCAGAAAUCCCCGCUCAUUGUAUGAAGUUAGAAAAAUAACUCAUGCCUUCAGCCGCUCGGAGCGAAGUCUGAAAAAGGGCUUCAGAAAUCUCCGCUCAAAGCAGGAAGUUAGAAAAAUAACUCUUGCCUUUAGCUGCUCGGGGGGAAGUCCGAAAAAGGCUUCAGAAAUCUCCGCUCAACGCAGGAAGUUAGAAAAAUAACUCUUGCUUUCAACUGCUCGGGGGAAGUCUGAAAAAGGGCCAUAGGAAGUUAGUAAAAUAACUCCUGCCUUCAACCGCUCGGGGGGAAAUUCGAAAAAGGACUUCAGAAAUCCCCGCUCAACGUAGGAAGUUUGAACAAGAAUUCUUAUCAGUCGACUACGCAAGAGGUUCAACUUUGUCAAGUUCCAAUGUCUUUUCAUCAUAAAAAUAAAUUAUAAAAUAUUGAAGCUUUUACUUUAUUUUAUUUAAACACAUGUUUUUUGGAGUGAAUAUUUCUUGCACAGGAAAAAGUUCCAAAGAGAACUCCUAGAGUUCGCCACUCAGUAUAAGGAGCAAUGAAGACUUAAAGCGCAUCGAAGAUAGACUCCCUAAAUACAGUGUGAUCAACCUCUUUUAAAGCUCAUAAUAAUCCCUGCGCACCUCUUCUGAAUAAAAGAGUUUGCUUGGGCUUUGGGGGCUUAUGUACUAUAUGAAAUAUACCGAUCAGAGUUAAUGGUCAUUCAUGGGCAAUUUUCAGGUACUAAUGGGUUAUAAUGAUAUAUUUUACCAUGAGUUCAGUAUUGAAUUGAGAGAAAAUGUCAACUCUUUCUUAGCUUUGUACCUUCUGUAUGCCUCAAUUUCUUAAGUUUAUAAGUAGGUACAUCUUGAGUUGAAUUGAUUUAAAUUUCAUCAUUAAUCCCCACUUUUUGGUUGUUAUAUCAUGUAUAUCAAGCUUGUUGGCCAAUCCGAAGAAUGGAAGAAACACACAAGUAAGAAUGAAUGUAAAAGAGGAAAUAUUGAGCAAAGAUUAAUGCUGCCGCCGGGGUGCAUCUGGGGUGCAGCCGAGCCUCAUUCUUCUCUGGAAUGUUGUACCUAGGGUGCAGCUGAGCACCCUGCUCUCUGAAAGGCUGCCGAUGGGCUAUAGCUGAGCAGUGGCGACGCUGACGUGGCAAAUUUAGUCUAUUUAGGGCUGAAACGCGAAGGGAUUUGGAUCUUUGCUACCCAGACGCAUUUCCUCUCAUUUGGAGCUCUUGGAGGCAAGCUAGGAGCUGUGGGAACCUUCUUAAUCCUUGGGUCUUCUUCCUUCUUCCAUUUCCACCAUUGUUGUAAGCUUGAGCUCUCCAUUAAUGGAGAGCUAGUUUCAUUAUUGUUGGGGAUUGAUGUAACCACGAAUCUCUUAUGUAAAUUACUAUGUUUUGAAUGAAUAUAAGCCUCUUUCAUUGAUUGUUAGUGUUUAAUUCCUUCUUUUAAUGCUUAUUGUGAAGUUGCUACCCAUGACAUGAUUUUAGGGUUUGCUUGAUAUUGGGAAAUGUUGGGUAAAUUUGGACUUGGAUUAAACACCUAAAGGAAAUAAUAUCUAGGGAUAAAAUUAGGACCUUUGGUUGUCUUAAAUCUCAAUUCUUAAUGCAGAAAUAAUUUUUAGGUUUUCCAAGGGAUUGGAGCCUAAUGAAGAAGUCUAGGCUCUCUCUACCAAGGGAUUAGGGUUCGAGUAAAUUAGUAGAUUGACAUUGACAUAUUAACGAAGAGGAAGUGAUUUUCUAUACAUAAGAGUGAAGUAGGUGAAAUCAUACCUCCAACAAUACCAUUCCAUAUCAUUUAUAAUCUUUCCAUUUCCAAGUGUUUGAGUACCUAAGAUCACUUUUAUCAUUCAUGUUUCAUAGUUACUUCAAUUGCACCAAAACUCAAUUUAAGGAAGCAUUCUUUAGUCUAGGUUAGUUCGAAAUUAUAUGAUUGUCUAGUGAAAUGAGUCUCUUGGAAAACGAUAUAUGGUCUUACCGAUUUUAUUACUUGAAUGAUUUGAUACACUUGCGAAAGUCUCAACAAUGGGUCAGAUUGCCUUACGCUUUACAAAUAUACAAUAUUAAUAAUUAAUUAUUGGGUUUGAUUGCCUAAAAAUAUACUGCUCUAAUGGUUCAUCAAUGGACUUGACUGUCACAAGCCCUAUAAAUAUACAAUUAAUGUCCAGGUACAAUCAUAUUUUUUUGUCAUAAUAAAAUAGUGACCUCUUUAUGAAACAUAUCUGACUUGAGCGUCAGAGUGUCUUCUGUAGGUCAACAACCUAUCAGAGUAGAUUGAGUUCUCGAAGAGGAUUGAAGAUCAAAAGAGAGCAUAGCAAGGAAGGACGACCAACCCUCAGACAAAUGUAACCGAAACAAUAGGUUUUCAACAAAUCAUUAAAAGACUAACAUUUUGAGCCUAACCAUUCAUUUACAUAAAUACCCAUAGCAACCUCAUGCCUAGAUUUCUAUUAAAGUGUAAUGCAAAUUCUAGAAGAAUGUAGAAGCUCCUAAGAAAAAAAAGGGUUGGAAUGUAAAUUGGGCCUAUAAGAUAAAAACCCAAAACUAGAGAUUGUCCAAGACUAAAGAAGGUCUAAAAUAGAAUUCUCGAAAAAUUCUAUCUAAAAGGAUUCUAGAAUGAUGUAUACAAAUAUCUAGGAAUGCUUAUCCAUAAGAUGUCUCUAGAUAAGUUUAGAAUUAUAAGAAUGUCUUAAAAAAUUCUAGAGAAUGAAUAAUAACCCUUAGAUUAAUGUUAUGGUGGCAAGAUCUUAACCAUUGGUUGAGGAGGUGCCACUAGUAUAAAUAGGGGUGAUUAGAUCAUUUGUGAACAAACCAAAAGAAACAAAGCAAGCCAACAUCUACCACAACUAAAGACAUCUACAACACUUCUCCCAACUAUUACUUUCACAUUUUCUCUACAUUCUACUAUCUCUACAUUUUCUUUACCCCAUCAACUAUUCCUUUCAUAAUCUCAAAAUACUAACAAUUUCAUAGUCAGAUUUUAUAGGCCAGCAGCAUUCACUUUAGAAAUUGAUUUUUAAGCCUUAUAAAAUUUUAGUUGUACUUUUGUUCUCUGACCCAGUAAUUAUGGGGUGAUAUCACAUAAGACUGUAUAUAGGAUAUCUGAGCACGCAAGUUGGUGCUGAUGCUGAUGUAUCUAUACUAAGCAGGUAACAUCCAAGCGCAUUUGAGCUAAGUUUUCAUCUGUGUAUCAGAACAAAACUGAUAUUUAUGUUAUGGAUAAGUUGCUUCAGACAGAACAUAGCAUAUACAUUAAUGAUGAGAAGAAGGAACGCAGAAAAAAGUUUAUACGUGCAAUGAAAUUUAGGAAAGAGAUUUGUAAGAAAUGAAGAUGUUGGUUAUCCAAAUACGUUCAUGUGAAUUCCCAAACAUGUCCUUGCGAAAUUGUCAUAGCACUGUCGUCCUUUUUAAGUGAUAAUUGCACAAAGUUUGGAAAAAUCUAGCAAUUGCAUGCAGACUUUUGAACCUCUAGGUGGAAAAAAUAAUUAACUUGAAGACCUUGUGUGGUGAUGAAGUUUGUGUAGAGUUUGGCAUCUUUGGUUCUGUUGAAGUGUGAAGUGUGGAGGAACAAACACUCUGAUAUGGUUGUAGGGUGGCUUUGUUGGCUACUGUCUCAUCUCCCUUUGCUUCUUUCCAAAUACUCUUUUCAUAACCUAUUCCUUUGCUUGUAGAACGAGGCAAGUCUUCCAAGUAUGCUUUUUCCUGAUAAACAAAAUUAAUUUCCCAAUUUAAUUGGGAUGUUAGAGUUUCAUAUGGCAAUAAAUAAAUAAAUAAAUAAAACAAAACUUUUGAGAGGGGAAAAAGGAGUGUAAUAUAUGUUUUUAAUUCUUAUUUUAAGCAAAAUAUUAAAAGUAUAUUAAAAUCUUUGCUUAAUAUAAAAUCAUAAAUUAACUCUUGUUCCAAAAAUACUAUUCCAUUCCAUCACCAACAUGCCCAUUUGAAGAUAAUAAAUUUACUAAAAUAUACAAACAAGAUUAAUUUGUAAUUUUAAUUCUGUGAUUUAAUUUUUUAUUCACGAUUUUUUUUCCAUUAUAUAAAGAUUUAGUUUCUGGAUUUUAUAUAUAAAGUUUAUAGUUUUUGAUCAUUUUUUUUUUAUUUCGAAAAUGUUUACUGUAUAUUACUGCAUUUUGAACGCAUAGAUAAUAUUUUUUUUUAAAUACCACCAAGUUUAGUUACUUUAAAUGUAAAAAUAAAAUAGAUAAAUCUAUGUAAAAUUGAAUAUUUGAUAAAAAAAUUCAAACUUUUAAAAUAGUAAAAAUAAAUAAAAUAAGAUGACCAAAAAAAACUAUAAUUUUGGGGGAUUUUGGUUUUACUCUCUCUUUUAAAUUAAGGUACAAUUUAGUCUUUCAACUUUAGAAAACUCUGGUUUUAGUUCUUUUUACCAAAUUUUUUAACUUUAUUGAUUGUUUCAAAUGCGUUUCAUUAUAGCAUUUGGAUUGUUUAGAUAGACUAAAACUAAAAUCAUUCCAAAGUAUAGGGACUAAAAACAUAUUUAACCCUACAAAAUAUGAAAAAGUUGAAUUUAGAUAAUAAAUUCCUCACCUGUGUUUGAAGCUGGAAGAUCAUUAUGCAGGAACAAAUCGGAAUCCUCCAAUGAUGUUUCAAUCGACAAAAUUCUUGGCACAUUUAGGACUCUUUCAGCGAAAGUUUUCAUAUUGGGGCAAUCAAUUACAGUUGCGUUUCUUAAAUAUGAAAAUUGCAGAGUGACAUUCCCCGAUAUGAAGCUUUGUAGUCGAGGUAAGGAAUACAACCUUAAUGUUGUGAGUUUUCCAAAUAUGAUCUUAUCACAACCAUCUUCAUCUUCUAUAUUUGCUAUUUCUUUUAUUGAUUCACAAUUUUUUAUAAUUAGGGUCUCAAGUUUCACCAAACAUUUUGCAGUUGAAAAUGUGAACAAAUACUCCAUUCGAUCACAGUCCUUCACAUACAACUCUUUCAGAUUCAAGAAAGACAUUGCAUGACACCCUAAUUUUUGCAACAUAGGACAAUUGACAACCCUUAAUGUUUGAAGCUUUUCAGAGUAUGGACUUACCCAUGGGUGCUCAAACCCUAUUGACUCAAGCUCAUUUAGUUCAAACAGGGUUAAUCCCUUCAAUGAAGCAGGAAUUCCAUCAUGAACUUGCAAUUUCUGAGAGGGAAAUAUCUCCUUCACACCAAAGCAUCUCUGCACUCGAAGAUGUUCUAAAUUGAGUACCUUGUUCAUGAAUUCAAAAGGCAAACUAUCUUUCUCAUUUUUAUCAUCCUCAAAGCAUAGUCGGAGAAGAUUUAAAUUGGUAAGGUUGACUUCUGGUACAUGUUCAUCGCUCAACAACAUCAUGUUUUUCUCAUUGAGUGUCAAACCCCUAAGUUUGGGAGCAACCUAGAUUCAAGCCAAACCAAUUCAAAAGAAAACGCACGGUGGAAGUUAGAAGGAAGAAAGUUGGGAAAUGAACAUUGAAAAGAAAAACAAACACAAAUAUUGGAAAAUAUACAAUGAAAAGGAGGAAAAUAGUUAAUGUUGUCACCUUUUCAACCAUGAACAGAGGUUGUUGUUGUAGCCAGUUUAUUGGAGCCUCCGCAACUGUUUGUCUGUGACUGUCAUGAAUUUUUGAUUUGAAUAGAUUCAACUUGGGACAGUAAGCCACAUGCAAGAUUUCUAACUGGGGACAUUCUAGAUGGUGUUUUCCAGGAUAAAAGCAACUCAGAUCUGUUAGGUUAUAAAGAGUUAGUGAAGACAAACACGGGAACUCAAACACAAAUGUUUCAGUUGUUGCAUCUUCAUUGCCAACAAUUUCUACCAACUUGUCACACUUCUGCAUUUCAAGUGUCUGAAGCUUCCUCGCAAACAAUGUUACCAAACUUCCACAACCAUCAAUGAACAGUUCUUGCAAAUUGGGAAAGCUGACACUUCCUUGGAGAUUUUUGUUCAAUAUACAUUUCAAAUUUGACAAGUCUUUUAAAGUAAGUUUUUUCAUGUGAAAGACUGUUUCUUUACUCUUGGCCCUGCUAUUAUGAUCCAUACCAAAUAUUACCUGCACCUCAUCAGAGCUAUGCACAUUCAAUUCUUCCAAGCUCUUCAGGUAAGGAAGUACAUUAGAUGGAAUAACAGUGUCUCCUUUACUUGCUCCAUCAAAUUCUAAUUUCUUUAGACUGCCAAAAAAUUUGCUUGGAAAAACAUGUUUCACAGGUCCAAAUCCCCUCAUCUCAAGAUAAUCCAAUAGAAUCAUUUGCUUUGAAUAUUCGAAAAAACCCUUAAACAAAAAGUUAUGUCAGAAUAAUGGACAAGCCUCAUAUGCAUAAUUAAUUUACAUAUAUACAAUAAUUUCGUUCUAAAAAUUCAUUUUUCUGUUGUUUUUUAAUUAAACUGUGAGCUUACUUUUAAUAUAUAUAUAUUGUACAUACUUUUUAGAAUGCCGAUCAAUUAACAGAAAUUGAAGAAAGGAAAGGAUAGGAAUAAUGACAUAAGAAAUUCCUUACCUGCUCGUGGAACAAGCUUUCAACUGUCAUGUUGAGAUCCGAAUGGAAGGUUAAAUCAGAAUCCGACGAAGAUUUAAUUCCAUAAAACAUUGGCGCAUUUGUGUUUCCUUGUGAGAAAGUUUUCAUAUUGGGACAUUUAAAUAGUCUCAUUAUUUGCAAAGAUGAGAAUUGCAAAGUGUCAUUUCCUGAAUAAAAGCUGACUAGUUUUGGUAGGGAAUAUAACCAUAGUUUUGUGAGCCGUCCAAAUAUGAUUUCAUCAUAACCAUUUUCAUCUUCUUUUUCUAUUAUCUCUUUCAUUGACUCACAAUUCUCUAUGCGUAAUGUCUCAAGCUUCCCCAAACUUUUGGCCGUUGAAAAUGUGAAUAGAUACUUCAUUCUUUUGCAGUUUUUCACAAUCAGCUGCUUCAAAUUGAUGAAAGAUGUAACACAAUUUACUAAUCUUUCUAAACGAGGGCACUUAAUAACUGCUAAUCCUUGAAGUUUUUCAGUGUAAGGCUUUACCCAAGGGUGAUCUAACCCUAUAGACUCCAACUCAAGAAGUUUAUUUAGGCUUAAUUUAUUCAACCCAGCUAGUAAUAUCCCAUCAUGAUCACCAUCUAGUUUUUUUGAGGGAAAUAUCUCCUUCAGGCCAAAACAUUGCCUCACAACAAGAUAUUCUAAAUUGGGUACCUUUUGAAGGAAAUCAAAAGGCAAACUAUCUUUCUUAUUUUCAUAAUCUUCAGAAGCUAGAUCAAGAUAAUUCAGUUUGUGAAGGAGGUCUGGUGAAUGCCCAUCUUUCAACAAGGUAAUGUUUUUCUCAUUGAGUAUCACUUCCUUCAGUUUGGGAACAACCUAGCAAGAUAAAAUGAUUGCAAUUAGAAAGAGAAAAAUUACGAAAAGAAAAGGAACUGAAAACAUUAAUUACUAAUGCUCUGUCACCUCUUCAAUCAAGAACAUAGGAUGUGGUAGACUAUGAUGAGGUUGUGAUGUGAAUAGCUUCAACUUACGACAGUAUGCCACAUGCAACCUUUCUAAUAUAGGGCAUUUGAGAUGGUGUUUUCUAGGAUAAAAGCAAAUAAGCAUUGGCAAAUUCCAAAGAAACAACUUCGACAAACAAGGAAAUUCAAACAUUUCAGUUAUUUCAUCUUCCAUUUCCUCUUCUUUUUCAACAAUUUCUACCAACUUGCAACAGUUAUGUAUUGUAAGUGUCUUAAGCUUACUGAGAUUUCUGGCAAGAGUUGAUGGGAACAAUGUUACCAAGGUUCCACAACUAUUUACCAACACUUCUUCCAAAUUGGGAAAACUGGCUAUUCCUUCAGGGUUUUUGUUCCAUAUCCAUUUCAUAUUUGACAAGUCUUUUAAAGUAAGCUUUUUUAAACGAAAUACUGUGUCCUUGAUCUCACAGUCAUCUAUGUCAAAUAUUACUCGUGCUGAUUUACAGCUCUCUACAUUUAGUUCUUCUAAGUUCUUCAAGUAAGGUAGCACAUAGGAUGGAAGUACAAUCUCUCUUUUACUUGCUGCAUCAAAUUCCAAUUUUUUUAAACUGCCAAAGAAAUUAUCUUGAAAAACAAGUUUUCCUUGACAAACAUCUUUCAUCUCUGGAUAAUCCUUCAACUUCAUGUGCUUUGAAUACUCAAAAGACACCUUAGUAACCAGAAAAACUCAUCAUUACAAGUGUAUGUAUGUACAAGAAAAAUUAAUGAAGAAAUCAACUUAUGACAUUUAUAUUGUACAAAGUCCUUGCUUCAAAUUAUAUUGUAAAAACGCUACAGCGUGCAAUUUAUAUAUGUUUUUCAACUAUGACAGUUAUAUUGUAGAAUACUUUGUUGCCCAAGUUUUAUAUGAAAUGAAAAAUAUUGAUGGUUUAGCAAUCAUAAAUAAAUAUUAUGAUUCGUACCUGAUGUGUAAAAUGUUUCUUCAGAGUUGCAUUUAAAUCACCUUCCCAAUACCAUUUGUCUUUUUCUGUGGCUACAACUUGUACUUUUUGUAGAUUUGGAGCACUUUGAACUUUGGAGAAUUUCGUCAUUUUAGGACAUUCACUCACUACUAAAUUUUCCAUCACAGGAAAUUUUAAGUCACACUUAUCCACAUUCAUGAAACUUGUGAGAUUUUGUAGAGAAACCAAUUCUAAGGAUCGUAAUAGUUUAAACUCAAUUUCUUGUAUUUCUUCGCCUUCAUUUUCUGAAAUGAUUUCCACAAGCUUUGGACAUGAACUUACUUUCAUCGUUUUGAGUUGAACCAAGGUUUUAGCAGUUGAGCAUGUCAUCAAACUCCUCAACAUACAAUUUUCCACUUCUAAAUAUGUCAAGUAACCAAAAGAUACUGAGGAUGACGCCAAAAUUUUCAAUUUGGUACAGCGUUGAAUGGUUAAGCGUUCUACCCUUUGAAGAAGCACCUCAUGCUCGAAGCCAAUCUCCUCCAGAGGCCAAAUGUUUUUUAGUUCCAACGCUUGAAGUUGCAUAACAACUCCAAUUUUUUCACGUGAAAUAAGACUUGCAGGGGCCCAAAUCCUUUUCAAGUGACAGAACCCCAAUGUUAACCUUUUCAAAUUGGGAAGUCUAUGCAAAAGCCAGAAGAGAACUUCAACGUUCUUCAACCCGUGCAACACAACUGUUUGUAGAUUUUGCAUUCUGUGAACAUUGAUAAUGUAAUUCUGCAACCACUCUACUUCCCUGAAGCUCAUUGCCAUAUAUUCCAAGUUGUAUAUCACCUAACAAACAUAUAAUACGAAUAUUAUCAUUAUCAAAGCAUAUUUGGAACCAAAUUUUCGUGAAUGAAUUAUUUUUAACAAUACAUAAAAGACCUAUACAUUACCUUUUCCGCAGCCAAACCAAUUGGUUUCAUUUGUGAGUUUGAGAUAUCUGUAUUGAUCCCUUCAAGCUUACCACAUCUUAGUAUCAACAAUCUCUUCAAUGAUGGCCACUCCAAAGUAUGAGCUCUCCCGUAAAAGCUCACAAGUUCAAAUAAUGAUUGUAAUGAUACAUAGUUCAGACGAGGAAACUUAAAGGUGAUAACAUUUUCAUUUUUACCUUUGUCAGAACCAACAAUCUCUUUCAUUGCCCUACAGUUCCUUACAUCAAGAAAUUCCAAAUUUUCAAGGUCAUUGGUAAUCGAAAGUGGAAAGAGAUGAUUUAAAUUUGGACUUCCAGCAACUGUUAUGCUUUGCAGAUUAUUAUACUUAAGUAUUUCACAAGUGUCAUCCUUCCAUAUGCUCACUAAAUUUGACAAAUUUUGUAGAACUAUUUUAUGCAAUUGUGUUUCAUUUAUAUCACUAGUUUGUGGAAUCAUUUCAAAAUCAAAUAUGUUUUCCACUAACUUGCAAUUUGUAAUGGUCAAGCUUUGAAGACUCUGAAAUUUUUGCCCCAUAAAACUUGGAAAAAUCGUUACAAGUUUGUGACAUUCUCGUAUUAUCAAAGAGUCUAAACUGUGAAAGGAAUGAAGACCGAUAUGGGGUUGCCAAAUGCUACUGAGUUUCUCCAUGCAGGUGAUCUCCAUUUUCUUUAACUUAGGAAAAACAUAAUCAAUAGUCCCCUACAAUAAAAAUUAGUAGUUAGAUAAGCAGCUAAAAGACCUCAACAAUUAAUGCAAUUAAUUCUACAACAAAUGAUAAUACGAAUCAAACUAAAUACUAAAUAAAUCCACACACCUCAUCAUCUUUUGGACGAAAUAUAUCCUCCAUCAUUUCACAUUCACUUACAGAAAGGCUUUGGAGAUUCACCAAACAUACAGCCAUGGAGAAUGACAAUAGAUAUUUCAAAUUAUCACAAUCUGUCACAUUUAACGUGAGCAAAUUUUGAAAACAAUGCUGAGAUUGGUCACUCCAUAUCUUUUGGAUGUUGACCGAAGAUAACUCCAACGAUUCUAGUUUUGGAAUCGAAAUCUGUAAGAAUAAUUAAUUUCUAAACAAUAAGAUUAUGAAGAAUAACAUGCAAAUUUAAUUAAAGAUUGUGAAGGAUUCUAGAGGAUACAUAUUUUUGAUAAUGUUUUACAUUACCUUUUCAUUGAAGAGUGAAAGGCAAGAAUUGGUGUCAUCUUGCUCAACUUCAACAAUAACAUCUCUGUUCCUGUUUCUCCCUUUUUCUUCCAGUGAUUGUGCACUACAAGGCAUCUUAUCAUUUGUAUACAAACAAGUAAAUGCUGGUAAGGAUUUUAAUGUCAAAGUUCGUAACUGAGGAAACUGGAUAUUGUCAUCACUGUCAGUAUGGGGUUGUCUUUCAAUGGCAACUAUGUCUUUCAAAGAAUCGCAAUCACACACUUCAAUAUUUUCAAGCAUGGUAAGGAGUCCAACCAUGAAAAAUGGGAAAAGGCUUUCCAAUUUGUCACAUGAUUUAAUCUUGAUGGUUUUUAAUCUGCAGAAAGAGGCCUCCAGAAGCUGAUUGUUACAUAGUUUCUCCAAAUUAUACAAUUUGUAAAGAUACAACGACUCCAAUUUGGGGAAAGCUAAUAAAGGGUGGAAUCGUUCCACUGAGUUAAUAAUAUAUUGAAGGCCAAUAUUGUUUACAAUGGAUAAAUGUUUCAACUUUUGAAAUCCUUCAACAUUUAACUCAUAGAAAACAUCAUGAACAUCAAUGAGCUCUCCCAACAAUAAAUAUUCAACAUUUUUGAACAGCAUUUUAACCCAUGUUUCAGAAUGAAUGUCAAUACCUUCUUUUAGGUUCAAUACCAGAAGUUUCACCACUUCAUACUUGUCAGGGAUUUUGAAUUCUCCCUCCGUGAGCAUGUUAAAUUCACCAAUGAUAAUCUUGUAGCUAUCCAACUUAUCAAAAAACAAGUUUUGUGGAACAUGAGAAACAUUUUGAAUGUGUAAGUCUAGGUUUCGCAACUGAUUCAAGUUCCUCAACUCAGAAAGACUAGCAUUUUUAUUUUGGAUCAUCUCCUUGGCCUCCCAUAGAAUCAAGGUGUCUCUCAUAUAAAGUUCUUCCAAAAUGUUGAUCCUUGAUAUGACGUUGGAAGGUAUGACACUUAAUUUUGAGCAAUUACUUAAGUCAAGAAGUUGAAGUUUAUCUAGUUGCCCAAACUCAAAGGGAAAACUUUCAAUGUUAGACCCUGAAAGAGUAAGAAUUCUUAGUUUUUUUAACUCUCCAAUGAUUGAUAAGUUUUGUCCUAGAGUGCACUUUUCCAAACUAAGCAUUCUUAGUUUUGAUAAGCAUAUAAUUGAAGAAGGCAAACAAGGCAUAUUAAAACUGGUCAAUAUCAAAACUCUGAGUUCAAUCAUGUCUUUGAAAAAGUCGUCUGGUAUUUUCAAAAACUGAUCUUUAUUGUCAAUAUGUAGGACUUCAAGUCUAGGACAAUAUAUACUCACAGGAAGAUCAUCAUUGAUAUAACAAUAGUGUAAAAAAAUAGCAGUGUACCUCUCAAGUUGAUCUUUGUGAGGCCACUCAUCGAUUAUGCCAUUUUUCAUAAAGAACAUUUGUUUUUCUUUGGAUGAUAUUGAAAGAGCAACAUCACGCACAAUGUCAUGCAUGUUAAAGCGGUUGCUAGAGUAACUUUCCAACAACAAACUUGAUUCUUUUAGUUCUUCUAUCAACAUAUUUACUUUAUUUCUCGCUUCUCCAAUUGUGUGGACUCCUUGUAUUAAACCCAAACCAAUACAAAACUUCACCAAGUCCAUCACCAAAGCAUCAUUUCCCAUUCUUGCACAAUGCAAAAAAAUACACUUAAGCUGCUCAUUUUUUAGAUGAUCAUAACUUAGCUUUAUAGAGAACUCAAUAGGUUCUUGCCCUUCCAUAAAACUUUUCUUUUUCAUUUGUUGAUAGACAUCCUCCCAUACAAAGGAACUUUUAUUCUUUAGUGUCCUCCCUAUGGAAACCAAUGCAAUAGGCAACCCAUCACACAUUCUUGCAAUUUCAAUGGCUUUUUCAUCAUACACUAAAUUUUGGAUUUGUAUUCCAGCCACUCUCUUAAGCAAAGUCUUUCCCUCAGUUUCAUUAAGGACUCCAACAGAGAAAGUUGAUCUCUCCUUCACAUCCAUUUGAUUACACAAUACUUGUUUUCUUCUAGAUGUUAGAAGAAUUUUGCAUCUUUUCUGAUCUUCAGAUAAAUUUUCUUCUGUCAUGUUAUUGAAAUCGGAAGAUAACUCUUCUUUUUCCAUCUUAUCGUAACUAGAAUCAGAUAUAUCAUUGACAUCUUGUUGGCUUCCAUCAUUUUCAUCACUUAUUGGAAUACCCAAUCUAUUCAAGUCCAACCCAUCCCAUAGAUCAUCUAGGAUUAUAAGGGUGUUCUCCUUUUCUUUAUUUAAUCUCUUUCGAAUGCGAUCUGCUCUUACGAUCUCACUUUCCUCUUCCAAUCUCAUUCCUAACAUCUCAGCUAUUUGUCCUUGAAUUUUUAUGAUGUUAGGAUUUCUUGUUAUAUUUGCCAUAACCACCACAUUGAACAACUUCUUUUCUUGAGCUUUCUUAGCAACUUCUUUGACUAAAGUGGUCUUACCCACACCACCAACACCAUAAAGGCCAAUCAUAUUAAUUGUAGAGUCUUCUAGUGCUUGCAUACACACAUUGAUAGUUUUUUCUCUUGAUGCAAAGCUUUCAUAACUAGUGUUUGUCAAAGCAGCAUUAAUGGACGGGAGUACUCUAUAGGAAACUUCAUCAAACUUCUUAUUCCAAAGUUCUUCUGCUUCCAUUUCCUCUACCAUUUUUGUAGCAUUUCUGCCCAAUCUAUACCUCAACGAUAAGUUAUUUGGAAAGAAACCAAUGGAACAUCUUGUCUUUGAAUGAUAUUCAUCGUUAAUAAAUUGUUCAUAUUUUUCAAUCUUCUCAUCCAACUGUUUUAAGCAAUGUUGAACAUCAUCUUCAAUUUCUUCUGCAUUCAUUUCUGCAUUAUUAACUUGAUGUUGUAUCCUUUUCCUAGUAUUAUCCAACCUCUCAAUGUAACAUUUAACCUCUUCAAAUUUGUCAUUGUAAUUAAAAAAGUAGCUAAACUGUCGUUUCACUACACGUACUGCAAUUUGCAUUGCAUUUUCAGUCGCCGUAGAGACAACUACUUCCAUACUCCCUUCACAAUUGAGACCCUCUCCUUUGCUUUAUUGGUUUCUACUAGGGAUACUUUUUUUUUCUGAUACAAAUGCAAAAUUCAAAGUUUAAGACUUAUAAGGGAAUCAAUAUAUAAACAUUAAGUAAACAUAUUGAUAAAAGUUGAUGCAAACAUCUAGAAAAGUUCAUGUAAGAAAAUCUUAGAAAUAAUACGACACUAUAAUCACUUGAAAGUUGUAAAUGUCACUAGUGUAGAAAAGUCAUUUUAUACCAUGUUUUUAUAUCGGUUAUAAUUUACUAGGUAUAGAAAUUGGCAAGGUGACAAUUUCGUAAAUAUGAAAAGGUUUUUAAUACCCAAAAUCGGUGUAGAAAGUAGUGUGGUUGAGAAAAUGUAAUAAAUUACGAAGAUUUUCUAUAACGGUCGAGUCCAUAAUGGGUUUAGAAAGUGAUACAUUGACAAAACUAUAAUAAAUUGCAAAGCUUUUUAUACCAUUGUUCUCAAAAUGAGUAUAGAAAGUAAUGUGAUAGCACUUUUGCAAUAUUGGAGAAGACUUUCUAUAUCUAUUAGUCACUAUAACUGGAAUAGAAUGUUUAAUACUCCUCUACCUAACCCUUUCGUGUUUCACUAUCAUUCGUGCUUCACUAUCAUUCGCACUUCUCAUACUGUCUUUUUUCUUCUCUACACUACACCUCCAAUUGCAUCUCACGCUUCCCAUGCCAGCUAUUUCGUUUGUCACUAACCUUCAUCGUUGGUCAUGAUUACCCUAGUCGUUGGUUUCUCUCGUGUUGUAAUGGCGUUGCUCGUGUUGUGGUGGCAUUGCUAGGUGUUGGGUCUAUCAAGAGGAGGGGUUAAAAAACGGUGACCCACACAAAUAAUUUUACUCUUCAAUCCAUUGUGGGUAAUUUUCAUUAAACCUUGACAACCUUUAAAUAGGUGCAAAUCGGGCCUUGGGCCAAGUACAAAUAAUAAAAACUGACAAUAAAAUAUCAACUUACUUAAAAAUAAAAUAUGCUUAUUCUAUCACAAAAUAAUAUUCUACCUACAUAAACAGAAAAUCAUAACUACUUAUUCCUAAUUUAUCUCUAUCAAAUCAAACCAAAUAUUACUAGACCCAAAACCAAUAAAAUAAGAUUUAAACAAAAUCAUUAAUAAAACCCUAAAAUUUAAGUUUAUCCCAACAAACUCCCCCAUAAACUUAAAUUCUUCCUUUAUUCUCGACUUUUGCUCCUAGACCUCUUCUUCUUAUUCUUCUCUUUAUUUUUCUCACGGCCUUGAGUGUUCCCCUUCAAGUUUGAAGUCGAUCUUGCCUAACAUAGUUGUCCCCUGUACGCGACGUCUUCAUAGUGCGUCCAUAGUGCGUCUUUUUCACCGCAUUCCAAUUACUUCUCCUUUCUUUUUUACUCUCUUUUCGAACACUCAGACUCUUCUCGCUCUCUGGGUUUUUGAGACUCUCCUUUUUUUGUUCUCCUUUUUCUCUCUAAAUUCUCCCUCUCUCCUUUUUCUCUCUCUAGAUAUUUGACUCUCCUAUCUGUCCUUUUUUUUUUUUUCUCUAAACUCUCCCUCACUCCUCCUCCAGCGGAAGCAUUCUCAACCAACCACAACCACGAGUAGCCCUUUCCAAGGGCCGUUCAACUUAACGGAACUCGCUUGCCUGAAUACCCUUUGUCAGGAAGACUUUUGGUAUAGGGAUCAUUAUACUCGUUUGAGCCGGUCACCAAGACAAACAAUUGACUCUGAUACCAUUGUUUGGUCUAUCAGGAUGAGGGGUUAAAAAACGGUGACCCACACAAAUAAUUUUACUCUUUAAUCCAUUGUGGAUAAUUUUCAUUAAACCUUGACAACCUUUAAAUAAGUGCAAAUCGGGCCUUAGGCCAAGUACAAAUAAUAAAAACUGGCAAUAAAAUAUCAACUUACUUAAAAAUAAAAUCUACUUAUUCUAUCAUAAAAUAAUAUUCUACCUACAUAAACAGAAAAUCAUAACUACCCAUACCUAUUUUAUCUCUAUCAAAUCAAACCAAAUAUUACUAGACCCAAAACCAAUAAAAUAAGAUUUAAACAAAAUCAUUAAUAAAACCCUAAAAUUUAAGUUUAUCCCAACACUAGGUUUAUGGCUAUAGAAUUUCCUCCUUCCUCUCAUAUUGAAGCUCUCGUUUUGGGGUGGCUCUCUCAUUGCUAUCUUUCUCCUUUUCCUUGUUUAGGGUAUUGGUGAAGCACGUGUUUAGGGUGUAUCUCGUGCUUCUACUAUUUUUUUUAUCAAGUUUGAAUAUAUUCAAUAAAUUAUUCUAACAUAAUUCAUUUUCAAUGUUCAAGAUAUUUAUAUCGUAUAUGCAUUAAUUGGAAAAAUGAUCACAUAUAUGAAUUUAAUGACCUUGAGGCCAUCGAAGCAGUUGAGUGAAGAGGUGAAAAAGUACUUCUUAGAGGACUUUGAAAAGAGAAAAAAACAAGUCUACUUAGCACCUUAUUUACAAUAGUAAAUAUGUUUUUUAUAAAUUAUAUUUUAUUCAUGUAAAACUUAAUUGUAUCUAAUGCACUUAGAAUAUGUAAGGUUAUUGACAAUUGAUAAUAGUUCCUCUUGUGGUUCUUUUGUGUUCAUUACGCAGGAAACCUAACACUUUGACAAUUAAAAGUACAAUAACAACAUAAGUUUUUUUACAAUUUAUUUGUUGGGUUAUAUACUAUAAUAUUAUAUAAUAUUACUACUAGGCACAAAUUUCAUGGGAUUUAGUAAUGUGUGCAAUUUAUAAGUAACAUCUUAAAUAUUUAUCACUAUAAAUUGACAAUUGUUCAAUGUGUAAAUUUUCGGUGACACAUCUCUAUUGAAGGAAGAGGUCCUAAAGGAAAUUCGUGAGUAGCGGUCUUUGUUUCUUUUGAUGUUAGGUGACUUUAUGAGGUUGGGAUUGUAUUAGUUUUGAUGUAAUUAUUACAUUAAUUAUAUAUAUAUAUAUAUAUAUAUAUAUAUAUAUAUAUAUAUAUAUAUAUAUAUUGGAUAUGGCAGAGAACUGGGUUAAUUUUAUGCAGGUUUGGAUGUGGUAGAGAACACAUACAACCUUUCAGUUAAAAAUAAUUUGUAAUUUUUUAUAUUAGUUUAUUUCCUAACAGGUAUAGGAAAUGGAUUUUUUAAACUGAUUAAAGUCUCAAUCGAUUUAAAAAGUUUGAAUCAUAUAUGUAAAUAAUGCACUUUUUAAAUUGGUUAAAGUUGCAAGUAGUUUAAAAAGUUUAGGUCAUUUAUAUAAAAAGUUCAUUUUUUAAACUAGUUAAUAUUCUAACCGGUUUAAAUGUCUAGGUUAUAUAUAUAAAAUUUUGAUUUCCAAGUGAAUUUUUUUAAACGAGUUUCUAAAUUAGGAAUAGAAAGUAGACUUUUUAAACUGAUUUGAGAAUAGAUUUAAAAAGUUUAGUACUUUUCAUAUCCUUAUUUCUAUAUCUGUUCCAAAACCAGUUUAAAAAAUGUUAUUAAUUAAUUAAAAGAUUUUUCUGUACUAUUGUGUUUUAAGAAAUUGUAUAAUUUUGACAUUUGUAGUAAGUGGAGUGAUGUUUUACGUCAUGAAAAAUUGUAUUAAGUAAGGAAUUAAGAAAUUAAAGUUAUCACCAACAUUAAAUAAAUGAUUUUUUAUUAUAAGACAGUUAUAUUUCAAAAUAUAAGUCAUGGGAACACCAAAAAAAGUAGACAUUCAUUGUCCGUAAAAAAUCAAUAUUAACAAAAAAAAAUGUUAACUAGUUAAUAAUGUUGAAUUUAAUGUUGCCCGUAAAAAAAAUUAUUAUCAUUGUUAUUAUUAUAAUUAUAAAAUUAAAUAUAAAUAAUUUUUAUAAUUUUAUUAUAAAUAAUUUUAUAUAUUUUAUAAUUACUUUAAUAAUUGAAAAAAUGUUUAAGGUAAAAAAUUGAUCAAAUCCAAAAAAUUAAUGAUUAAACUUAAAGAAAAGAAUUAUUUAAAUUGAUAGAAUAAUAUUAUUUUAAUUUUAAAUGUUUUAUUUAAAGGAUAAAACUAGAAAACAAAUGUAGAAAUAUAGUUAUUAAUUAACAAAUAUUUAAUUUUUAAAAAAUUUAAAAUAAUUGACAUUAACUUGACUUUAUUUAAUGAUUAAUUUAUGACAUAUUUUUAAUAAGUGUUAGGGAGAAUAUAAAUUUUAGGUAUUAUAUGAUAUAAACAAAUCAAAGUAGCAUACAACAUGGGUCCUACGGUAUCCUAUGCUUACCCCAACCAGCAUGCUAAAACUUACUCCUCUACAGGUAUUUUCCUAUCAUGUACAGUGGCUUAAUAAACUUACUCCUCUACAGAUAUUUUUCCUUAUUAAUCACAUAUUCUACCUAUCAUUUUCUUUUCUUUUAUUUCUUUCUUUUUGUAUCAUAUCUUUUACAGUCUAUUUAUUCUAGAUUCCAUUUCGUUUAAAAAUAAAAUAAAUUGAUAAUAUAAAUAAGUAAAAUAUUUGUUUUACAAAUUAAUUUUAUAAAAUUGAAUAAAAUUAAAUUCUGCAUAACAGAAUUAUUCAAAAUAUGUGGCAAAACAUUAUUUAUUAAACAUUUCAUUUUUUUAAAAAAUAAAAUAAAUUUAUAAUAUGUAAAUAAGUACAAAUUUUAAUACAAUUUAAUUUAUUAAAUUAAAUAAAAUUAAAAUUUUACAUAACAGAGUUAACCAAAACCUGUAAACAUUACCUAAAGAUAGUGGUUGGAAGUUUGCUUAAUAUAUAAUUCAAAAUACAGAAUUAUCUGAAUGGGACAGAUGGAUGAUGAUGACUAUGAUGUGAGGUUAUUUGUUAAAUUAAAUCUGUAUGGAUUAGAGAUGUGAUGAUGUUUACAAUAAUAGAAGCAGAUGAUAGAUGAUGAUAUAUACUUAAUCAUUUACGAAUCAAAAAUGAAUAUAAUUACUCACAUAAGAUAUGGUAACAACAUUUAUAUUUAACUACAUUCGUAAUUAAGCAUUUAGGAAUUUGAAUUUAACAUAAAAGUUUAGUAAGAAAAGAUAUAUUUAAUAGAAAGACAACAAACAUUGAGUAAGGUAUUUACCUGUAGAUCACCGCUGCACUGCACAGAGAAGCAUGGAGAUCAUAGCAUCUUGAGUGUGAUAUGAGCUACAACAUUAACAAAACUGAAAGAAAGCAUAGAACAGAAGAGAUGAAUCAUAAGAAGAGGCGCAAAAGAAACGAUGAGAGUGAUGAAUCUGAGAUUGUGGAUCUGAUGCAGUAUGUAUAAAGAAAAGAAGAUAAUGUGCAGUGGCAUGUGUUUCUGUUCUCAAAUUCAGAACAGAGAGGAGAAGAAAUCCAUUAAAAUAAACAAAACAAAACAUAUUAUUCAAUUUUAUUGAUGUAACUGUACAUUUGGCAACAGCUGUCUGUCACACACAAUUAUUUAAUCCGUAUCAUUUUCCAUAUCGUGUUGUCAGCGUUGCCCAUCUCUACUUAUUAUCACCAUAACUAUUCAGACCUGUUUGGACAAAUAAUAUUACAAAACCCAACAACAAACUAACCGUUUACAUCUCCACCACUUUCUUUUAUUAAUGAUAUGAUGCCAAAUAAUAAUACUUUUAUUUAAGGCGAUGUCCCGCGAAUAAUAUUUUAAGUAUUGAAUACUUUCUGUACGGAUAUCUCCAACGAUCGGUUUCCAGACGAUCCGUCAACAAGAUAAUAAAUCAGUCAACGUAACACAGGAGUGAAUGAUAUUCAAACAGAAAUAUCAUCAAUUACUUUAAGUAUUGAAAAUACUUCCCACAAGGAUACGAUACUUAGUUGGACAAGGUAGGAGAUCACCGUAAUAUAUAGAACACUUUACUUAUUAUCACCAUAACUAUUCAGACGUGUUUGGACAAAUAAUAUUACAAGAACCCAACAACCAAAAAGUGGGCCAUAUCUAACCCUUUACAUUUCCACCACUUUCUUUUAUUAAUAUCAUAUGAUGCUAAAUAAUAAUACUUUCAUAUUCUUUAAAAAUAAUUACAUUCAUUUUUUAAAGAAACAUGUUUUUAAUCAGGUAUUUUUUAUUUAGUAAAUGAAUAUAUUAAAUAACAUCUGUUAAACCACAUCAAUCCUGUAAUAUCAAUAAAUUUGAAUAAAAAAACUUGUAUUCAUGAAACUGAAAUUUUUUAUUUUAAUAAUAUUUUAUUAAUUUUUUAUUAUAAUAAAUAAGAAUCAUAAUUGGAUUUUUUUAAUGUAAUAAUUUAUAUUAUAAUACAUAACAUAAGGGCGAGAACUCAAUGAUGUUGUGUGAACUCAUGAAGUCUUUCCACUACUUUGUUGUGUUAAGAGUUGUUUGUUUUACUUUCUUUUAUCAUGAUGUUGUGUAUUGUAGUUGGUACAAAAAUUUAUAAGGGUAGCCAAGCUUAUAAUGAUAAUAAAAAUAAAGAACAAAACUCCAAAAAAACAAUAUGAGAAUAAAAUUUAUUUAAGUCUCAAUUCAAACACUUUUUCUUUUAAAAGGAGGUUGGCAGAGAUGACAUUGUUACGAAGUUCAAUUUUCAAAGUAUUUAACUUGAGAGACUAAUAGCAAGCAGAAACAACUUAAUUGGACAUUAGACAAGCGAUACACAACAUCGAUUGUUUUUUUAUAUUGGAUUUCAAUUUUAUAACUAAAAUAUAUUAAGACAAAAUAAAAAGGAAAAGAUUUUCGAUUAUAAACUGGCACAAAAAAAGAUUCACAUUUUAUUUCAACUAAAAAAAUCUAAAACAUUCAACAACAUAUAAAAUAUAAAAUAUUAAAAAUAAAAAAUAAAAAGUUGGUUAUUUGACCUUAAUUAUGAGACAACUGGGGUCAAAUCUCUUUUCUGUUUUGGUUAUAAAAUAACUAAGUUUAUUAAAAUUUCUUUUUAAAUAUAUUUAUUUUAAAGUGCAUUUGGUUUUGAUUAUUAGUUAAUCCAAGUUGAAUACCCUUUUCUCCUUUGGUUAUACAUAUAAGUAAAGCCUAAUGUUGUUUUUUUUAAUAUUUCUUUAUGAAAGGGUAUUUAGUUUUGGUUUUGACAUGAACUGAAGUCAAAUGCUUCUUUUUCUUCGAUUUUGGCUAUAACAAAAGUCUAAUAUUUCUUUUUUAAAAUAUUUUUCUUUUAAUCGAAGCCGAAUAAUUAUUUUUGCUUUGGUUUUGGUUACAACUGAAGUUUAUUGUUGGCGUUUUUUUUUAAAUAUUUUUUAUUUUAUUUUUGAUUCAUCCUACCUAUUAAACCUGUAUAAAUCCAGUACAGAAACUCAUAACAGAAACAAAAAUAAGUCAAAAUUUAUAUAGUUAUAAAUGUGUUAAAUGCUUACUAAACCUUACAAAGUAUUAUAUCUUUAUAACAAUUAUACUAUUCUACAUUUCUAUUAAAUAAUUUGCACACACUUUUCUUAAAUAAUUAAUGGACUUAUUGAGAAUUGGUGUAGGACUCUUAAAUUUCUGCACAAAAGAUAUCAAUUAGUAUAUAAAAAUACAAAGUUGUAAAGUAUUUGGUUAUAUGGGAUAAGCCGAGAAUACAAAUAAAAAAUAAUAACAAAUUAACUAAAGAUAAAAGAUAAAUAUAAAAUAAAGAUAAUAUAUCUAACACUCCCCCUUAAGCUAGUACAUACAUAUGUACCCAGCUUGUUACUAAUAUAAUCCAUCAAGACUUAGCUGCUUCUACACUUAGUGACAUCAAAUUGCUAAUGAUUUAUAAGACGACAUAGAAGACAAAAUACCAACCCAACCCCUGAGCAACAAAUUUGGGAGGUUGCUCCAUGUAAAUCUCUUCUUGCAAAUCGCCCUUGAGGAAUGCCACCGGUGGAUAAAGAGGUAAUUGUUGGAGAGCCACCACGGUUAUAAAUAAACUAACAAAACCAUCUUUUCCAUGGGAAAAAAAAGCAUAUAUGUACGGGUCAAAUACAAUGGUGAAAAAAGAGAGGUCUGAAGAGACAGUAGCAGAAGAAUCCAUGGAUGAAUACAAGAGAGAAAUAUUAAAAAAUCCAAGAUUCUCUAAUUAAGGCUCAAGAGCUGAAGAGCUGCUUGAGAGGAGAUGAGACACGCGACAACACAUGAUGAACAUGAAAGAGGAAAACGAGUGACCUCGACACUCUGGAUUACUACUAGACAUGCCCAAUGCACGACGAAAAAGGGAGCAAAUCCAAAACUUUAAAAGCGCUGAGAGUAGACAACGACGUCGCCGACAACAAUAGACGAUAGUGCCGUCGACAACGGUAGAUGGUGUCGUCGCCCGCAACGACGAAUGUAGUGAUAGAGGCACCAGAAACUUUUUCCUCAAAAGAACCUUAAGCUCUAGAUACCAUAUUAAUUAUAAUAAAAACUAUAUAUGAUAUUAAUCUUCCUUGUAUUAAAUACACACAUAGGGUUCUCUAUUUAUAAUAGAAGAAAUAUGGGAUAAGCCCAAAAUACAAAUAAAAAAUAAUAACAAACUAACUAAAGAUAAAAGAUAAAUAUAAAAUAAAGAUCAUAUAUCUAACACAUUGAAUGAAAUUAUUACCAUUUCGUAGCUGGUUGAGAUAUAAGCAUGAAUACUAGCUGUCAUCCAAUGCAAUUAUUACAUAGUAAUUGCACUGAUAAGAGUCAGUUUGUCUAUUACACUACAAUAUACCAACAUAAUUGUAAAUAAUUGAGGAAGAUCGCUGGAAUAAGACAAUUAUAAAUAGAUGGAUCAAAAUACCAAACCUUGAGAGAAGACCAUGCAAGCUCUUUAGCCUUUUAGCAUUUGAUUUCACUGAUAACAUAUGUCAUGCAAUUGAACUAUGAAAAAUGUUAUGUUUUAGGAUACAUUUAUAUAAAAAAGAAAGUUCUUAACAUUUAGAGUCCUACCAAUAUAUUACUUGUUUGAGAUGGUUAAAGGGGAUACUUGUGCAAGGAUAAAAACCACAUAGUGAUAUGGUUCGUCAAGAAACCACAACUAGUUGCCAAUGACACCUAAUAAAUAAUCUUACCAACCUCCCUUAUGUCGAAUCUUCUUGGAUCUUCAUUUUAACCAAAUCCAAAUCCAUCUUUUGUGUUUUCUUGAAUGUUGAGUAGUGUACCAAUUAAACUAUCACACACAUUUUUCUCUACAUGCAUUACAUUUAUACAUACCUAACCUCUAACUUUGAUCAAUAUCGAAGAUAAAAGAAUAUUGAUUUUUUCUUCCAAAGGCUCAUUGCAUAAGACUUCUUGGAUGUUUGCCCAAAUACAUUAUGUAUUUUAUUAACAUUUUCAUGACUUUGAAGACCAAUCAGUAGAAUUGGUGCAUUGUCAUUCUCUUGAUGUCAAUUGAAUGUUUUUUUAACCUUCGAUAUGGCUUAUUAGAUUGUAAAAAUAUUCGAUUGUGCAUAUAUAGUAUUUUUUUGUGUGUUUCAAUUGCUGAACUAUAAUGUUUUCUUCACGCAUAGGACAUGCUUUAUGACUCUUGAUGAUGUAUCGUAAAAUAUUUAUAUAUUGAUUAAUUAUUUUAGAUAUGUGAUUAAUUAUAUGCUUAAAUAUAUUGAUUUAUUUUGUUUUAGUUGAAAUUAUUGUUAUACUGAGUUGAUAGUGAAAUGGAAAAAAAAAAAGAGAUUUCAGAACUCAAUCAAACAAGCCAGACAAUGUUAUUUUGUUGUGUAUAGUUUAAAUAGAAGAAGACUUACAUAUUAUGCUGGUAUUGGUUUAAAAGCCACUCAUGAAUAUUGUUAUAGUUGCAAGUAUUUUACAAAGUUGAGUUAGGCCUAUCCUUAGUUAUGUUGAUUCGCAUACCUCAAGCAAAGUUGAGGCAAAGGCAAAUUGGGUCUAUGUCAAGCCAUAUCAAGUUGAAUAAAGUUUGACCCACAUUGGACCGAGUUGAGUCAUGUCUACCUUGAGUCAUGUUAAGUUUAGACCACGUCAGACCUAUCUUGGGUUAAGUAGGCUCAAGUCUCCUUGGGUUAAGUAAGGUCGAACCCACCUUAAGCCCACCUUAGGUAGAUUCGAGCUAAGUUCACCUUGGGCUAAGUCGAGUUAAGUCUACCUCAUUCUAAGUCGAGUCAGAACCAUCUUUAGUUGAGUUAUGUCAUGUCAACCCUAGGUUUAAACUAAUCAAACCCAUGUAAGAUUGAGUAGAGUUUAGUCCAUGUUAGGCUGAGUAGAUUCAGUUCACAUAAAAUCGAUUUUGGGUUGAAUAUGGUUACGCUCACGUCAGACUGAGCUUAUGUGACCCAUUUUGGGCCAAGUUGAGUUAGACUGACCUUUGGCUUAAUCGAGUCGAAUCCACAUUGAGCUUAGUUGAGUUAAGUCAAUGUGAGGUCAAGUUGAGUCAGACUUGCAUUAAGAGCUAACAUGUUCAAAUCAUCUUGUGCUAAUUCAAGUUAAGACAAGGUCGACAUAAGUUUGGACCAAAGUGAAACAACGUUAGGCGAAACUAAUGUUAAGUUGGGUCAACCUAGUUGGACAAGUUGAAUUGGAUCUUAACUUUCCUGUUAAGUUUGAAAUAGUAAAAAUUGAGUAAAAACCAAUUUAUAAUAAAUAUAAAAUAUCUUCGGAUCAAAAUUUAUGAUUUAAAAUAAUUGAAAGACUUAUGUUAUUGUGAAAUAUAUUUAAAAGUUAAUUAAAGUUGUGUAAGAGCCCAAACUCACUUUGACUUUGAUCGUAACCCGUUUUAAUAGUGGGAGCUUUAGGGUGGGUUUUUGUUUUUUCAGUUCGUUCAUUUGAUAUAUCAUAUAAAGGAAACUUACUUAGGAGCAUAUUAAAGUUGACUCAUGAUUUCAAAUUGACACCUUUAAUUAUUUGGAUAAAGUUGUGAUUAUUUUAAAUAAAACAAAUAUCAUCUUUUAUAGGUAUUUAAAGAAAUUAUGAAUAACUCAUCUUACUAAUCAAACCAUUCAAUCUAAUCCAAUCUAAAAUCAAAUUGUAUUGGAUUAAAUUAUUUUUUUUGGAUUAGAUAUGCUUUUAGUUUCUAAACUUUGAUAAAAAAAAAAUUGUCUACGUCCUAAACAUUAAUGUAUUUUGGUCACAAAACUUAAAAAUGACCCAAUGAGAUUACUUUUUAUUUUUUCUUACAUGUAAAAAGCUCAAACUCCAACUUGAAAUAAUUUGAUUUGCAAAAAAUAAAAAAAUAAAAAUAAAUGUAGUUGUGGUAGAAGAAAUAUUUCUAUUUAAUUUUAAAAUUUGCAAACCAAACUGAUUAAAGUUUAAGACACUAAAAUUUUAAUUUUGUAUCCAAGCUUAGGAAUCAUCACAAAUAUAUUUAUCCUUUUUCUUUUGUUUUUGAACACACGGUUUUUAGCACCAAAAGAAUCGAAACAAACCACAGAAACCCUGCCAAAUUGUAGUUUUAUUAAGAGAAAAAGUGUAAAUGCCACAAAAUUUUCUCACAUGUUUUCUUGAUAUUGGAAAGCUGUAUGUAGCAGCUGAUGUAAAUUGGCUCACCCCUACACUAAUUCUCCCUUUAGCAUUCCGAUAUGUUUGAUAACAAGGAGUAGCACAUAUCCAAAAACUAACGUAUUUUUGGUAGUCCAUUCUACGCCCUUAAACAAAAGGCAUUACGAAAAUAAAUGACAGAUAUCAUAGAACAUACACUCUCACAGAACCCAUUUGACAUUAUCAUCCUAAAAGACACCCCAUUAGAGCUCAUGUUUUUUUAUCAACAGCGAAUAAAAUUAUGAUAAGUACAUUGCCUUUUCCUAACAUUUUACUCGCAGUCACCCUCACGCAGGUCUAUUUGAAACCUGAUAGAGAUACGUCUCUGUGUGAUGAAAUACAACUAUAUCCCUGCCCACCACUUCCAAAGCCAUGCCCCCCAGAAUAUACAAAGAAUAUAAAACUUAAAAAUAACAGGGGUAGCAAAUUCCUAAAGCAGUAAAUAAUGGAUGAUCUUAAAGUCUCAAUUCAAACACGUUAUUAAGGUGUGGCAGGCAUGACAUUGUUACAAAGUUCAAUCUUCAAAGUAUUUUAAGUUGAGGACUAACAUGCAUACAUAAUAUAACUAACUUAAUCCCAUACAAUAAUGGCCAUGUAGGUCCACCUUAUUUGUAUUUCAAGCAUUACAAACAAUAAAAAACAGACUUAGAAUAAACUUUUGUUCAUGAUACUUGUAUCAUCAUUGUUCCCUCUGCCUCUGAUAUUGCAAUGCGGAAAUCACAGCUAACCUAACAAAUAAAUAAAUAAAUAAAAGCACAAUUAUAUGUACAGAAGUUUAACUAAUUUGUUUCCAAUAAAGUAAUCAAAUUAAUGCAAUGACAAGAAAUGAGAAUUAUAUUCAACUAUUCUGAUGGAAGCAUACAGCCCCUUAUUGUAAAUAGCUUUGAAAAGGUAUGUGGUAAACAGCAUACUCUUACUGUAUUUCUUAUAUUUACAGUGAUCCAUGUGUAGUUGUUCAAAUGAAAUCCUAAGUAUUUGAAAGUCCGAUCUUAUGUUUUAAUGUGUCUCCAAUUAUUAAAUAAGAGAGACAAUUAAGAGAAACAAAUAACACACGGGUCUCCAUACUUUACUUUUCAUGUAACGAAAUUAAUCAUACUUAUAUCUUUUGGUUAUUUUAAACUAGUUAUUAUAAAAACUCGGUUGGUUUAUGAGCAUUGUUACAUAGGUUAAUCUGUUUGUAUAAUUGAUAAUUGUUUUAUCAGUUAUAUUCUUCUUUAUAUGACUGCUCUCUCUGUGUGUUAUUAAUCAAUAAUAAUAGAAUAAUUAUUUUCUUCCUUUUGCACCCUUUUAUCUCUUUCUCCUUAUAUGGUAUUUAGAGCAAAAAAAUUUCUCCAUGAAUUUCCGCCGCUAUCAACUCUGAUUCAUCUCCUUCCUCUUCCAAUUUUCUUCCGCAAACUUUAGAUAACCCAAUUUCUCUAAAACUUGAUGAUGACAAUUUUCUUCUUUGGCAAUAAGUUCUUACCACCAUUCGGGGACUCAAAUUGAUGAAGUUCUUGGUUGGAUAUGUGGCUCCUCCAAAAUCCGUGUCCUCUGAUAAUGCGACAACCAUGCCACAACCAUUUCUCUAAAUCCCGCACACGUUGAAUAUGACAAACAAGAUCAUUCAUCCUUAUGUGCAUGUUGUCUCUUUAUGCUGGUGACACAUCAUUCAUUGUCUCCAGUAGUGACCACCACCGUCAAACUCGCCUCCUUUUCCUUGUUAUGGAUCUAUGCUUGCGACUUUGAUUAGAGCACUUUGGACUUUUAGGUUUCUUUUUCCGCUCCUCAUUUAUGACCUCAUCUUUGAAUUAUGCUAGUUCUGGCGCUUUCCACGGUCUCUGAUCCAUCCCUAUAUACUAAUUAUGUUAACGUGCAUCUCUCCAUUCACAUAUUAGAUGCGAAUAAUUAUGCAACUUGUUCAUCAAACAUUAGGCUUUGACUUAAAACUCAGGGGCAUGUUGAACAUCUUACUUAAAAUGUGGCUUCUAUUGCUCCGAGUGAUGCUUUCCGUUGAUUGAAAAUUGGUGCUUAAUUAUGCAUUGUUAUCAAAUCCACCAUUCAAUCAUCUUUAAAACAAUUGUUUUAUAUAUACAAAACAUGUUCAAAAGCGAAAUUAUUAUAUACUAAUGACACUCAACGUAUUUAAGAUAUUUGUCACGAUCUUUUUAACGUUGUAGCUCCUUUGCAUCAUGGCUCCAUGGUUAAAUAUCUGGGAAAAUUUCAUUUUCUUCUUCGUGAAUUUAAUGAGCUACUAGUCCAACUUCUACUAUUCUCAUGUACGAGAUCAUAUUUUGUGGUCUCUUAUUGUUCCAAAUUUUGCUUCUACUUUUUCCACCCUCUUACACAUACCAAUUAAUUAGAUUGAUGAUUUAUACCAGAUUCCGCUAAUAAUCCCUCUACUUUGGCAUCUCAAUGAGGUUAGCACAACCCUUCUCACAAGCUAGGUAAAGGCGUCACAAGUGUGAGUAUUGUCAUAAACUUGGUCACAAGAUUGAUUGGUGUUAUGCCUUACAUGGUUAUCCUCCUUGCUCUGCUGCAUUUGACAAAUUGACCAUCCUUCACCAUCAUCAAAUGUGAAACCCACAUCAUCUAAUACGGUAGGCCCUUCUACUAUAUUCAAUGAAUUUCUCAAAUGGUAUGAGAAUUACUAGAAUCCUAGUUCAACUUCAUUUGUUGCACACAUAGAUAUCUUUUGUUAGCCUCACUCAUGGACCUUGGAUUCUUGAUUCAGGUGCCACCGAUCAUAUUAUGGGUAACAAAUCUUUGUUUUCUUCUCAAUCUUCUACAUGUUAUUUACCUUCAUUUACCUUGGAUGAUGGAUCUAGGGUCUCCUCCCAUGGUGUUGGUUCUAUUAAUCUUUUUUGUUCUUUAUCUAUUAUAAUGUUCUUUAUGUUCUCGAGUCUCCAUUUAACUUAUUAUCCAUCAGUUGUCUCAGUUGUUCCCUUGAUUGUGUUAUGUCUUUUACCAAAGAUCUUAUUUCUUUACAAGACCAGAGUUCGGUAUUAUCCAUCAGUUGUCUCAGUUGUUCCCUUGAUUGUGUUAUGUCUUUUACUAAAGAUCUUAUUUCUUUACAAGACCAGAGUUCGGGAUAGAUGAUUGGCAUCGAAUUUGAGUCUCAAGGUCUUUAUCACCUACGAGCCUCUACACAUGUUAGCAACUUGUUUCGAGUUUGUCAAAGUUAUCUAGUUUGUCAUGUGAGUCUUGUAAAUUAGGGAAACAAAGUCAUAGUUCAUUUUCUCAUAGAGUCUUACAACGUGUUUCAUCUCUGUUUAUCUUAGUUCACUCUAAUAUUUAGGGACCAAGUUAUGUUAAGUCUAAUUUAAGAUUUCAUUACUUUGUUACUUUUAUUGAAUUACUCGCGACGUACUUAUUCUUAAUGAAAAAUCGUUCUGAAGCUUUUUUUAUCUUUCAAUCCUUUUACAACGAAGUUCGAAAUCAAUUUGGGAUUUCUAUUCAAACAUUGCAUAGUGAUAAUGGCGGUGAGUAUCAUUCUCAUUCAUUUAAAAUUUUUAUGGGUUCUAAUGACAUUCUGCAUCAAACCUCUUGUGUUUAUACACCUCAACAAAAUGGGGUGGCUAAGUGGAAGAAUAGGCAUUUUAUUGAAACCACUUGUAAAAUUUUAAUUUUUAAUUCAUGUUGAUGUCCCACAGUCUUUUUUGGAUGAUGUUGUUCUCGUUGCAUGUUAUCUUAUUAAUCGCAUACCAUCUUCAGUGAUAAAUAAUAAAAUCGCUCAUUCCAUUUUGUUUCCUCAUGAACCUCUUAAUUCCUUACCUCUUAAGGCUUUUGGAUCCACUUGUCUUGUUCAUAAUUUGAGUCCUAUUCUUGAUAAACUAUCUCCUCAGUCACAUAUAAAUAUGUCUUUUCAGGUUUCACUAGAUCACAUAAAAUAUAUAAAUGUUUUUCUCCUUCACUUGGUCACUAUUUCUUUCAAUGAGUCUUAUCUUUAUUUUAAGUAUCUUUCCCUAUGUCUGUGUCUUUGUAUAUUCCUUGUGUGUCUCCAUCUAUCAUAUUCAAUAUUCCUGUUAUAUGUGCUCCUCCUUGUUAUGUAUUAGUUCACCUUCCCAGCCUACACCUCCACCAACUUUUCAGGUGUAUAGUCGACGUUUCCGUCCUGCCUCCCUCAAUAGGUUGAAUCACAUGUAGUGCCCAAUCCUCCAUCUCCUCCGGCUAUACCAACUGAGUUUUCACUUCUAGUUAGCCUCCGUACGUAAUCCAUCUCCUCAUUACACUACUUUGAUUUAUCGUAGAUUAUCUCCAUCUUUUUAUACAUGCCUUUUCUCUAUUUGUACUGUGUCCAUUCCUAAAACUGUAGGGAAUGCCUUAGCCUAGUCUAGUUGGCAUCAGGCCAUGUUUGAUAAGAUUAAUGCUUUUUAGAGUAGUGGAACUCGAGAACUCACCUCACUACCAUAUGAAAUCUAUUGUUGGUUGUAGAUGGGUCUUUGCUAUCAAAGUGGGUCCUAAUGUACUGUUGAUACUUUUUCCUUAAUGCCAAAGAUGGCUUUAUUUUGCUUAUUUAUAUUCAUCUCUUCUUUGACACUGGCCUCUUUACAAAUUGGAUGUAAAAAAUGCUUUACUUAAUGAUGAUUUGCAAGAAAAAAUUUAUAUGGAGCAACCUCCAAAUUUUGUUCCUCAGGGAGAAUCUUCUGGAUUGGUAUGUGAUCUUUGCAAAUCUUUAUAUGGUGUAAAAUAGUCUUCUAUAGCUUGGUUUGAAAAAUUUAGCAGUGUUGUUGAAUAGUUUGAUAUGACUCAUAGUGAGGUAGAUCAUUCAAUCUUUUAUCGUCACUCUAGUAUUGGGUGCAUCUAUUUAAUAGUAUAUGAUGAUGAUAUUGUCCUUACAAGGAGUGACAACCAUGACAUCUCCUGGAUGAAACAACACCUUUGUCACCACUUUCAGACCAUAGAUCUUGUCAAACUUGGAUAUUUCUUGGGGGGUUGAGGUAGCACAAUCCAAUAAUGGUAUUGUUAUAUUUCAAAGAAAGUAUGCAUUGGACAUUUUUUAGAAAACUGAUUAACGAACUCAAAAUCAGCUAACACAUCCAUGGAUCCCAAUACCAAACUUCUACCUAAUCAAGGGAAGCCUUUCUCAAAUCCGGAACAGUACAAAAGAUUACUUGGAAAGUUAAACUGUCUUACUGUUACUCGUCCUAAUAUUUCCUUUGUAGUCAAUGUGGUGAGUCAAUUUCUCAAUUCCCCAUAUGCAGAUCAUUGGAAUGUAGCCAUCCAUAUAUUAAAGUAUAUUAAAUCUCCUGGAAAAGGUUUGCUAUACAAUCAUAGUAAUCAUGCUAAAGUUGUUUGUUAUUAAGAUGUUGACUAGGCAGAAUCUUCAUCUGAUAGAAGAUCCACUUCGGUGUAUUGUGUUUCUAUUGGAGGUAACUUUAUCUCUUGGAAAAGCAAGAAACAAAAUGUAGUGGCAAUAUCUAAUGCAGAAGAAGAAUAUAGAGCAUGCCUCAACCACUUGUGAACUAGUUUGCCUUAAACAGUUACUUGAAGAAGUUCAAUUUGGAGAUGUAACUCAAAUGACACUUAUACGUGAUAAUCAAGUUGUUCUUCAUAUUAACUCUAAUUUUGUCUUUCAUGAAAUGACCAAGCAUAUGGAGGUAGAUUUUCAUUUUACUUGAGAAAAGAUUGUAUCAGAAGACACCAAGACUACGUUUGUUAACUUGAGUGAUGAGUUAGUAGAUACUUUUACCAAGCCUUUACGAGACCUAGAAUUCAUCAUAUUUGUAACAAGCUUUACACAUAAUUUAUAUGUACAAGCUUGAUGAGAAAUGUUAGAAAUGUGUAAACCUAAUUGUAUAUAUUUGGGCUUAACCCAUAUUUUCAUUAUAAAUAGACUACCCUCUAUGUUGUUUCAACAGAAGGUGAUUAACCCCAUACCUAAUCUCUUUCUAUUUUCAUAGGAACAAACUUCAAACAUAUUAUGUUAUUAUAUAUGCAUCUAAUAAGUGCUCAAUUUAAUUGAAUUUUAAGAUAAUUUUGACAUUUAUCUUAUUUUGAUUUUGUUACAAUAUGCUUAAUUCACCCCUAUUUAAUUUGUUUUAUAGUUCUUGAUGUGAAAUAGAGAGUAAAAGUGUAAAAAUGAAAAAAAAAUAGAGGAAAUUAAGGCAUUUUACAGCAAACUAGUUCAGCACAACUACAAUGCUACAUUUGGGGCUUAAGGCACACAAAGAAAACCUACAUUGGAAGGAAAACUUAAGCCUUGACCUAUGGCUUAAUCCAUGAAGAGUUCUUCACCUAGAAGUAAUCCCAAGAACAACAACAUAAGAACACACAACUUAAGCCAUGGAGGAAACCUACCUUAGUUGAAAACCUCACAACAACAGUCACGAAAGCACGAGGCUUGAGCUACAGAGGAAACUCACCUUGGAGGAAAACCUCAAGCAAACCACCUUUGGAAGGAUCUAAAACAUCACUUUUAUGGCUUGAGCAAAAAAAUGUUCAGUUGAAGCUAUAGAAAGGUAGUUUGAAAAGAUCUAGAUUAAAUCCUCUACGGCUUAAGCGCUAAAAGUUGUGGCUCAAGCCAACCUAGAUAGUUAUAAAUAUAGUAAUAGAGUAGGAAUGGGUCUGUAAGGCUCAAAGGAGAUGCUUUCAUUAUAAUUCUUAUGUUUAGAUGUUGUUGGGAUUGCAAUAUUCUAUGAUUAGUUGAACUCUCUCGUGUUAAAGUUGGAUGUAAUUAAUCUAAAACUCUUUGUACUUAUACUUCUUGAAUAUUUAUUUAUGUUUUCAUUCAAUAUGUUUGUUAAUUGAUUUAUGCUUGUUGUUGGAUGAAUUGAUGAGUCAUCUUAUCUAACUAGCUUAAGAUUGAGUGGAAGCUAGUAAUAAGUUGUGGCCCAAUCAGUUUUCUUGUGGGCUUUUGAAUGCUAGGUGUAAGACGUGGGAAAUUGUAGAGUGUAAAUAAAAUAUUGUGUCUUGGUUUAUUUGUAUUUAAUGAAAGAGCAUGUUUUCAUAAUUGUUGUGUAGCUUAAUUGGUGAGAGUUGUUUGUUGCGUAAUGGUCUUGUGGUCCAAUCUUGCUAGAAAAAUGAUUUAAUUAAGUGUUUUAUUAUGUGUAUCUUAAUUGCUAUUCGUAUAAUUUAUGUGUUUUUUUCGUGCAAUAGUCAAAGAAACACUUGUAGCAUGGUGGUUGUGGUGUGUGUGCUUUAAAGGCAAGGGUCCGAACCUUCCCAAUGUAUAUAUUAGAAAGACUAUUUGUUUUCCUUGCUUUGGUUGUUUUACCCAUGCACUAGAUGUGGCUUGAGCACAAGAGGUGUGAGCUAGGAGAAGGUGUCAAAAGAACUGUGAACAUUGGAAGAGGAAGAAAGCUAAGAUUGUUUUAGGUUAGAGCGUGCUAUCUUGGGUUUAAUCCUUGUAUAUAGGGGUCGUCUUGGUGCAGUUUAAUUCUCUAUUUUGGUAAUGGAGUUCCAAAAGGAUAUAAUCAAAUAUCAGGUUUGGAUUUUAAUAAAACUUUUAGUCCUAUGACAAAGCCUUCUAUUAUUAGAGUUGUUCUCACCUAUAUGUUGUUUCAGCUAAAUGGCCUAUUCAUCAACUUGUUAUAAAUAAUGCUUUUAUUCAUGGUAUUUUACAAGAAGAUGCUCACAUACAACAACCACAUGGUUUUUUUCUCUCAUGAUCCUAACUUGUCUGUAAACUUCAUGGAAUAAAACAAUGUCCAAAGAUCAUGGUUUAAUAAACUCAAUCAAACUUUAACGGCUUUUGGACUAUUCUACUCUCUUUAUACUUGCUUAUGUCGAUGAAAUCAUGCCAUAUCCAUUCCAUUAUUUCUAUGCCUCAAAAUUGCUUUCCUUCAAAAGAUAGGAGACUUUUACACUAUUUUUUUUAGAGUUAAUUAAAGUGUUUCAAAAUUCGUAAAUAAUUAUCGACAAAGAAUUCUAUAAGUAAUAUUAUUUACAGUUAUUUUACCUACGAUUCUUUUCAUAAAUAAUCCGUAAUAUUAAUUUCUUAUCUACAAAAAUUUGUCCUUACCAAUAUAUUUUUAUUGUAGGCAAUAAACUUUUUUUUUAGUGUUUUGCACUCUUUUUUUCUCCGUCUCCAUAUAAACAUUUCUAAUUAAGUUCAUUAAAGAAUGGAAUGUUUAUGAUAUAUUUGAGACAAAAGUAAUUUAACAAUAUAAUGAAUAUGACUUUUAAAGAUAUGUACAAAUGGAAGGUUUCAAAGAGCACAAAGAAACAUAUAAGUUGUUAAUUUUGGUAAAAUAUAGUCUUGUAAUUAAUGAAUUUUCGAUAGAAAAUAAUUUUAAAAGAUUAAUCAUUUGGUGGUGUUGAAAUAAAAAGAAAGAGAGAAUUUAAGAGUUUCGAGAUACAAAAGUUUAUAGUGAACAAUUUUUAUUGCAUUAGUUUUGAUAUAUAACUGCAAUUAAAUUUGAAAAAAAAAAAUCUCACACAGUCAUAAUAAUAGAAUUAAGAAUAUAGUUAUACCUAAAAGAAUAUAACUGCUCUUUUCAAAUUUAUGUAUACAACCAAAGAAAAUAUAUAAUUUUGGGUGUGGCAUUAAUUGGUAACUGCUCUCCAACUUGGACAUGUAAAAUGCAAUUGUAUCUUUGCAAGAUAUAUAUUAUGUAAAAUAUAACAUUGGCAGUUUUGAUCUUUAUGAAUCGUUGAAUGCGACUAAUAUUUCUAUUCUGUUUUAUUUAGUCAUUAGUUUCAAUUUCUAGUGUUGUAUAUAAAAUAUCAAACACUAUUAAGAUUUAAAUGGAAGUGAAUUUGCAGUAUGGUUGACAUGCAGAAAUAUACUUACCAAAUGGUAGAGGAAGAAGAACUCCAAACGCUCAUUACUGUCAUCAUGACUCAUGGAUUACCUGAAUAUACGAAAAAAGGUGAGUUGAUAGGAAAAACUUUAUAUAAAAGAUUCAGGUUUUUUUUAAAAUAAAAGAUUUUAUAGAGAACCUGGGAUUGUUCGUCGGACAAAGAUUGUAAUGAGAUCUUACUCAAUUUACUAUGAAAGUUUUGAUAUUGUAUUGAAAAAGUACUUUCCAUUUCAAUUACCUUCCUUUCUUUUUCGUUUUUUCUCUCUUCUUAUAUAUAUUAAGUAACAACACACACUUUAUUAUAUCUGAAAUUCAUUCAGUAUUGCAAAAUGACAGAUUGCAUCGAAAUAACGGACAUGAGUGAAGAAAUGACUUUGGAUAUAUAACAUCAUUCUAUUAGAAAAAUAUUAGUGAAAUAUACAAAAAAAAAAAAAUAGCAAUGGAAUUAGGAUAUUAAUGAGUUCUUACCUGAUUGUGAAACAACUUUUGGAUCGUUGUGUUAAGAUCGCCGUCAAAUGUUGAAUCAGAAUCUUUUGAUGUUUGAAUCUUCAAAAAGGUUGGCACUUUAAUGAAUCCUUGAGAGAAAGUUAUCAUAUUGGGACAUUCAGCUACCAUCACGUUUUUCAAAUAUGAGCAUUGCAAAGUGGCAUUCCCUGAAUAAAAGCUUAUAAGCUUUGGCAAGGAAUUCAGCUCAAUUGAUCUGAGCCGUAUAAAUACUAUCUCAUCACAAUCAUCUUCAUCGUCUUUUUUCACAAUUUCUUUGAUUGAGUCACACUUCUGUAUUUUUACAGUCUCAAGUUUCACCAAACUUUUGAGUGUUGAGAAUGUGAAUAAAUAUUCCACCUUUUCACAGAGCUUCACAGAUAACUUUGUAAGAUUGAUGAAUGGUUGUACCCACGGGUGCUCUAAACCUAUACACUCUAACUCACUUAAUUCCAACAAAAAUAAACGUUUCAAUCCAGCAAGUACUUUGUCGUGAACUUGAAGCUUUUGAGAGGGAAAUAUCUCCUUCAGACCAAAGCAUUUCUGUACUGUAAGCCAUUCUAAAUUGGGUAGCUUGUGUAAGAAAUCAAAAGGCAAACUAUCUUUCUCAUUGUUAUCAUCCUCAAAGGAUAGUAUAAGAGAUUCUAAUUUACAGAGAAGGUCUUGUGACAAACGUGCAUCGCUCAUUAGCUUAAUGCUUUCCUCAUUGAGUGUCAGUCCCUCCAGUUUGGGAGAAACCUAACAAUUGAAGUCAAACAAAUUCAAAAGACGAUGUGUUGAUGUUAGUUUGAUACUAUAAGACAAAAUUAUAUCAAUGAAAAGAAAAGGAAACCCAAAAGGUUAAAUUAUGAUGCUUCUUUACCUUUUCAAUCGAGAACAAAGGUUGUUGUAAAAAGUUAGUUGGAGCCUCUAAAACUUCUUUUUUACUAUCAUCAUCAAAGCUUGAUCUGAAUACCUUCAACUUAGGACAACAUUCCACAUAUAAGUGAUCUAACAAGGGACAUUCUAGAUCAUGCUUUUUAGGGUAAAAGCAACUCAACAGUGGCAUCUUUUCAAGAUUUAGAUAUGACAAACAAGGGAAUUCAAACAUAAUUGUUGUUCCAUGUUCCAUUUCAUCUUCCCUUCCAACUAUUUCUACCAUUUUCUCACACUCCUGUAUAUCAAGUAUCUUCAACUUCCCAAGAUGUUUGGCAAGUGAUAAAGGGAACACUGUUACUAGGCUUCCACAACCGUCAACAUUCACUUGUUUCAAAUUGGAAAAGCUGACAAUUCCUUGUAAAUUUUCUUUCCAUAUGCAUUUUAAAUUUGACAAGUGUUUUAAAGUAAGCUUUUUCAAACCAAAGAUUAUUCCCUUUGUCUCAACCUCAAUCUCAUCCGUAUCAAAUAUUACUUGCACUACAUCACAGCUAUGCACAUUCAAUUCUUUUAAGUUCUUCAAGUAAGGAAGUAUAUGAGACGGAAUUGCGAAGGAUCUAUUCCACGUUAUAUCAAAUUCCAGCUUCGUAAAACUUCCAAAAAAGUGGUCUGAUAUAGUAGGUUUUGUGUGUUGAACUCGCAUCAUUCCAAGAUAAUCAUGAAGAAUCAUAAACUUUGAGUAGUUGAAAAAAUCCUUACAAGACAAGAAACUCAAUGUCAGGAUAAUCGAAAAGUUUCAUAUGCUUGAUAUUUGAUUAAGAUGACUGGGAGUUGAAUGAAUACUUAAGUCAAAUUUUGGUAAUGCUUAUUUAUUUAUGUAUUAAUUUGUAUAAUAGGUGCCAAUUAUCUAAGAUAUAAAAAGAUAAAAAUAAGAAUAAAAGAGGGCUAAAUGUUUUCUGAACAAAAUGAAAAAAAAAAUGUAUUAAAAGGACAAUGGAGUGAUAACAAGUAGAUUUGUUUUGAGAAAUAGACCAAGCAGUUGAAUCGGAAAAAUCUAUUAACUCAUUUAGUGUUUGGCCUUUUAGAAUUACAGACUCAAUCUCCAAUCGAAUUUUUCUAUAGUAUUUGCUCCAUUAGACUUACAAAUCCGAUCUCCAAUUGAAUGGAUCAAUUACGGGAAAACUCGAACAAAAUCAGCUUCUAAACUUACAGUUUUGUCAAUCAAUUGGAAUUUUUUUAAAAUACUUUUUAAAUUUUAUUUUGACAUUUCCUUAAAAUUAAAAAGCGUAAAAUUAUUUUCUAGAAAUCAUUUUUUUAAAAUAAUAUUAUUAUGUAUUCUUGAACCUUAAACCUAAAUACUACAAAUAUAUUUAAUUUUGUAGUUGUGUUUUGUGGUGGUAGAUGUUGUCUUGCAUCAAAUGAUAAAGUACAUGAGUAUUGAUAAACCCAAAGUUUAUUCUAUAACAUGCUAGCCACAACUUAUGUGAAAUGUCCUAGCUUUUUUUACCUAUGUAAAAUGUUCUUAAUUUUUUCUUCCUAUCUUAGUCUUUUCUACAAUAUUCUAGAACUGUUAUUACAUUUUAGUACUUUUUGUUAGCAAUGGGUUUUAGGCCUAACUCAACCCCACAAAACCGGUUUGCAAGGUGAGGUCUGCACCCCACUUAUAUAUUAUAAAUUGACCUUAUCUCUAGUUGAUGUGGGACUUCCAACACAACCCCCUCACGUCGAGGUAUAUACAUCUCGAGCGUGAGACUAGAUAUUAAUGGGUGGUCUGAUAACGGUCCAAUAGUGGGUGGAACAAUAUGCCCAACAAAUAUCGCUAGGAUAAACUUUAACCAUAACUCUGAUACCAUGUUAGAAAUGGGUUUUAGGCCUAACACAACCCCACAAAACCGGCUUGUAAGGUGAGGUCUGCACCCCACUUAUAUAUUAUAAAUUGGCCUUAUCUCUAGUCGAUGUGAGACUUCCAACACUUCUAUCUUAGGAUUUUCUAUAUUGUUCUAGAAUUUGCAUUACACUUUAAUACUCCUCCUUAAUGCAAAUUCGAUAACUCAAAGCAUAAUGCGUAAUAGUUCAAAUCUUGGUCGUGGUAAUGCAUUAGUAAAAAUAUCUGCAAUUUGGUCUUCUGUUGGGCAGUACUCGAGUCGAAUUUGUUUAGUUGUCUCUUAAUGAAGUGGUAUUUAAUGGCUAUGUGUUUUGUUCUUUGAUGAUGGACUAGAUUUUUUGCUAUUGUUGUUGUCGAUUUAUUGUUCCAAUAGAUAAUAAUCGGUCCAUCUUGUGGUGCACCCAUUUAUUCAAGUAUUCUUCACAGCCAUAUUGCUCGACUCGUGGUUUCAACAACUGCUACAUACUCUACUACUGUUGUGGAUUGUGCCACGAUUGCUUGCUUCUUUAAUGCCCAAGAUAAAAUACAUAAUCCUAGUGAGAAACCGUAUCCUGACACACUCUUCAUGUCAUCCAUUGAUCCUACCCAAUCACUAUUUAUGUAGUCAAUCAUUCUUGAGUUAGUCAUGGUUUUGUACGAUAUACUAAACUUAUUUGUACCUUGUAGAAAUCUUAAAAUUAUUUUCCCUACUCCAUAAUGAAUUUGACUUCGCUUUUGCAUGAAUCUUGAUAGAAGACUUGUAGCAUACAUAAUUUAUGGCUGUAUGGUUGUGAGAUACAUGAGAUUUACAAUUAAACACCUGUAGCGUGAUGCAUUUGCCUCUUGUGCUCCAUCAUCUUUUUGAACUUCUCAUUUACGACCAACGAAUUAGCAAUCGAUUUACAAUCAUUCAUCUUGAACUUCUUUAGUAAAUCUUCAAUAUAUUUCAAUUGAAAGAUAAAUAUUUCGAUUUGACAUCCAAUUGAUAGAUGUUCCAUCAUUUCUGUGUUGCAAGAGCUAUUAAAACUCUAAUUGUAUCUAAGCGAGCAACUGGAGCAAAUGUAACAUUGUUGUUCAUUCUUAGUUGUUAUGAGUAGCCUUUAACGACCAAUCUUGCCUUGUGCUUUUGUAUUUUCCAUCAAGGUUAAGUGUUGUUUUAUAUAUCCAUUUCACUUCUAUGAUGUCUUUUCCAUAAGGGCAAUUUACAAGUUCACAAAUGUUAGUCUUCUCGAUUAUUUUAAUCUCUUCUUCUGUAGCCUUAACCCAUACUUCUUGCAUUGGUGCUUCUUCGUGACAAUUAGGCUCAAUUAUGGUCAAAUUGUAAGUUAAAUAUAUGUGUACCAAAUAUCUUAUUCGUCAUGGACUGGAUCCAGGUGAAGAAUCUUGUUGUUGUGGAGGUGGAGAAAGAAUACCUGAAUUUUCUGCCUCUUCUUAAGUUCUUCUUGAGAUUGUUGCAGUAGAAGUAAAAUGUUGUUUUUAACUCCCAAUUCCAAGAAUCAUUUUCAUCAACUUCAACAUCUCGACUAAUGAUGAGCUUUUUUGUUUGUAGGUUGUAGACUCGAUAGCCUUUUGACUGUGUGUUAUAUCCCAAGAAUAUUCCUCGUAUAGUCUUCUCUUCAAGCUUGUGCCUCUUUUGGUUAGGAACAUGUAUGUAGCAGAUAGAUCCAAAUACUCGUAAGUGUUUAGAUGAUGAUUUUCUUCCACUCCAAACAUCACUAGGAGUCUUGUCUUGGACUGCCUUAAUUAGACAUUUAUUUAGAAUAUCAAUUGUAGUUUAGAUUGCUUCAUCCCAAAAAGUGUUAGGCAUACUUUUCUCUCCUAGCAUUGAUCUUGUCAUCUUCAUGAUUAUGCGAUUCUUUCUCUUUGACACACCAUUUGGUUGUGAAGUAAAUGCGACUGUAAGUUGUCAACACUAUAUUAAGACAGAAGGUUAGUAUCAUCUCAUUGUCUCCUUAUAUGUUGAUGAACUUAUCUAAACAUAAAAUAAUAUGGAGAUGAUGAAAGAAUUUAACGAAGACAUGAUGAAGACAUUUGAGAUGUUCGACCUUGGAUUGAUGAACUAUUUCCUUGCUAUAGAGGUGAAACAACAAAAAGAAGGUAUAUUCACUACAACAAAACUUGAUAUUACCGAUAGUCAAAAUCCACCGGUAAUGAAUAAAAUUCAUCGAUAAAUUAAAAUUACCGAAGCUUUAUCAAUGGUCAAAAAUUCUUCGGUAAAAGUAUUGUCGAUAAAUCUUUCAAUAAUUACCGACAAAAAAUCCCAUCUAUAAAUUUAUUGGUAAAUAUCGCGAUCUGAUUCACCUUCUUCCUCAUUCUACUUAUUUUUCUUUCUUUUAUUUUUAUCCAUCCAGACAAAAGAACACAUUAAAAAAAUAUCGCUCAUGCCAAACAAUGUAAGGUGCGUCUUUGAUCAUAAGGGAAGUGACAAACGUUGGCUUUGACUGUACAUAGAUAAGAUAACGACGGUGUUGUGUAGUGGUGGCAGUGUCGUUGCAUAGUUUCGUGAAAGAGGAAGAAUGGAGGCAAUGCCCAUUCCCUACACAUGCUAGAGAAGAAAAAAAUGGAGUGGAAGACCUCAAACGCAAUGUCAUCAGUAGAGACAGACACGGGAGCCUGAUUGAAAGGAGGUGGACGCAGCUAGGCUUGUAGCUGCGAUGGUGAGAUGGGGAAGUAGGAGAAGAAGGAGGUUGCCUCGCGAAAAUUUAACUUGUAUGUCUCGCAGACAGAGAGAAAAAAUGGGCGAGAAAAUUUUUACUCGUUUUCCCAAUGGAUUUACAGAUGGAUUUUCUGUCGGUAAUGUAUAUUUCACUUAUUGACGAAUUUAUCGACGAAAUUAUUUGUCGGUAAUGUAUAUUUGAAUUAGCGACAAAUUUUAUUGAUGAAUUUUUUCGUCGAUAAGUGAAAUAUGCAUUACCAAUGAAAUUUAUCAGCAAUUUUUUUUUUGUCGAUAAGUAAAAGAUGCAUUAGCAACAUAUUUUUCUAUUGAUAAGUGAAAGAGUGGUGGAAAAGUUCCCGCUUUUUUUUAUCGAUGAAUUUUUCCUUGGGUAAUGCAUAUCCCAUUACUGACAGAUUUCUUUGUCGGUAAGUGAAAUAUGUAUUAUCGAUGUAUUCUAGCUAUGGAUUUUUCGUUGGUAAACAAUAAAAAAAUUUCAAAAUUCAUUAGUAAAAGCCACAGAUAAUACAAAUUUACUGACAGAUAUAUUCCUGUCGAUAAAAUUUCGUCGGUUAUUUCAAGAAUUUUUGUAGUGAUUUAUUUCUCAAAAUAAAUCUAUUAAAUUUUACUAAAGAAGUUCAAGAUGAAUGAUGGUAAAAAUGUUGCCACUUCGUUGGUAUGGUAAACAAGAAGCUUCAAAAAGAUGAUUUAGCAACCGUGGCACAAUUAUCAGCGGAAGCAGUCAAGCAAUAUGGCUACGAAGAAUAUUUGAAGAGAUGGGUGAACCAUAAGAUGGACCAAAUAUCACUUCAUUCGAGAUGAAGAGGCAACUAAACAAAUUCGACUCGAGUAAUGUCUAACAAAAAACCAAAUUGCAGAUAUUUUUAUGAAGCCAUUACCAAGACCAAGAUUUAAAUUAAUGCCCGAUUCUUGGAGGAGUUACCAAAUUUGCAUCAAGGAAGAGUAUUAAAGUAUAAUGCAAAUUCUGGAAGAAUGUAAAAACUCUUAAGAUAAAAGAACUCAAAUGUAAUACAAAUUUUAGAAUAUUGUAGAAAAGCUUAAGAUAAAAAGAAGAAAAAUCGAAAAUAUUCUACACAAAUAAAAAUCUAGAAGAUUUCACAUAAGUUAUAACUAACAUUUUUUUAAAAUAAUUUAUGAGUCUAUAAAUACCAAUGUAAUCUACCACACUUGAGCUAAGACAACAUCUACCUCAAAUAAGACAACUACAAAUUUAAAUACAUUUCUUCCAACUACUAUUUUUUACGUUCUAUCAUCUUCACACAUUUUCUAUCUCAUCAACUAUUUUUUUUUCACAACCUAAAAAUACUAACAUUGUACCUAGUAAAAUAAUUAUUUUUAAAAUAAUAAUCCAUCAAACAAAACCUACUGCUAAAUAAUAUAAUAUAUUAUAAUUGAUUUGAGCUUAAGAAAAGAGUAUUUUAUAACAAAAGAAAAAAAAUAAUAAUGUAAUACAAAAGAAGACAUUUACUUAUAUAUAUAUAUAUAUAUAUAUAUAUAUAUAUAUAUAUAUAUAUAUAAAAUAAUUAGGAUAAGUAAUUCUGACCUUUUCAUGAAAUAAUCUUUGGACAGUUGUGUUGAGAUCGACGUAGAAAGUGAAAUCAGAAUCAUCGGAUGUUUGAAUCCCCGAAAAUAUGGCUAGUUUCGUGACUCCUUCAGAGAAAGUUUUCAUAUUGGGACAUUCAACUACCAUCACAUUUUGUAAACAUGAGCAUUGCAAGGUGGCAUUGCCUGAAUAAAAGAUUAUUAGCCUCGGUAAGUAUUUCAGCGUAAUUGAUCUGAGUCGUCCAAAUACUAUCUCAUCACAACCAUCUUCAUCGUCCUUUUUCACAACUUCUUUGAUUGAUUCACACUUCUUUAUGCUUAGAUUCUCCAGUUUCACCAAACUUUUGAGUGUUGCAAAUGUGAAUAAAUAUUCCAUCUUUUCACAGAGAUUCACACAUAACUCUUUAAGAUUGAUGAAUGACACUGCACACAAAACUAUGUUUUCUACUCGAGGGCAACUGUAAAGAUUUAAUAAUUUAAGCUUUUUGGAGUAUGGUUGUACCCACGGGUGCUCUAAACCUAUACACUCUAACUCACUUAAUUCCGACAAAUAUAAUCGUUUCAAUCCAGCAAGUACUUUGUCGUGAACUUGAAGCUUUUGAGAGGGAAAUAUCUCCUUCAGACCAAAGCAUUUUCGUACUCCAAGCCCUUCUAAAUUGGGUAGCUUGUGAAAGAAAUCAAAAGGCAAACUCUCUUUCCCAUUGUUAACAUCCUCAAAGAAUAGUGUAAGAAUUCUUAAUUUACAAAGAAGGUCUUGUGGCAAACGUGCAUCAGUCAUAAGCUUAAUGUAUUCCUCAUUGAGUACCAGUCCCUCCAGUUUGGGAAAAACCUGACAAUUGAAGUCAAACAAAUUCAAAAGGUAAUGUGUUGAUGUUAGUUAAAUACUAUUAACAGAAAAAUAUAUCGAUGAAAAGAAAAGCCCAAAAGGUUAAAUUAUAUUGCUUCAUUACCUUUUCAAUUGAGAACAAAGGUUGUUGUAAGUUAGUUGGAGCCUUUAAAACUUCUUUUUUACCAUCAUCAUCAAAGUUUGAUCUGAAUACCUUCAGCUUAGGACAACAUUCCACACACAACAUAUAUAACAAGGGACAUUCUAGAUGAUGCUUUCCAGGGUAAAAGCAACUCAACAGUGGCAUCUUUUCAAGAUAUAGAUAUGACAAACAAGGGAAUUCAAACAUAAUUGUUGUUCCAUGUUCCAUUUUAUCUUCUCUUCCAACUAUUUCUACCAUUUUCUCACACUCCUCUAUAUAAAGUGUAUUCAACUUCCCAAGAUGUUUGGCAAGUGAUAAAGGGAACAAUGUUACUAGGCUUCCACAACCAUCAACAUGCACUCUUUCCAAAUUGUAAAAGCUGACAAUUUCUUCGAUAUUUUCCUUCCAUACACAUUUUAAAUUUGACAAGUGUUUUAAAGUAAGCUUUUUCAAACGAAACACCAUUCCAUGCAUCUGGAUUUCACUCUCGUCUACGUCAAAUAUAAGUUGUGCUGAUUCGCAUUUCUCCACAUUCAAUUCUUCUAAGUUCUUCAAAUAAGGUAGUACAUGAGAGGGAAUCAAAGUAUCUCUUUUACAUGCUUCAUCAAAUUCCAAUUUCUUCAAACAUCCAAAGAAAUUGUCCGGAAAGGAAAAUUUGCCAUGUCGAACUUUCCUCUCGGGAUAAUCAACAAGAUUUAUAUCCUUUGAAUAUUCAAAAGAAACCUUAAAAAGAGAAGAAACUAAAUGUCAGAUGUACUUGACAAUCAAUGAUUGAAUAACUAUAUAAAAAGUCUUCUAUACUAAUUCUUAUGGUAUAUGUGAUCCGCACUUUUGUUCAUUAUAUAAUUUAUUAUAAAAAAUUUGGAAAAAUGAAAAAAGUGGAAAUUGUUUCAAAUAAUUCAUAGAGUAUGAUAAAGGUCAUCGUUUGCAGAAAUUUGAUUGUGAAAUUGUGCUAGACAUUUGGAUAUCAAAUCCAACUUGAUAAUAUAAUCCAUAAACCUUGACCUAUGAAACUAGGAAAUAAAUUACUUAAAUCUGUACAAAAUGAC